rnacentral:lncRNA from 1 species
GGGAGAUGAUGACCGUUGCUGACCAUGUCAAGUCACUGAUGAAUACAAUCUGAGAAGUGAAGCGCAUAGAAAUACAAGUGGAUGUUGCAAUAUAUAGAGCACAUGCAUGAUGUCAAUUGUAUACUUCCUUGGUGAGUCGAGGUGCCCUCCACUGAUCGAUGUGUCCUAAGAGUAUGAGGAGUAGCUGCUUUAUCUGGCUUGGAGCUCCAAAUAAGUGCACAAGUGGAAGUUCUAAUAUAGCAGAAAACAUAUAAGCAAUUGCAGACCAAAUAAUGUAGUUAGUUUAUAAGUGGGGUAUUGGGGAGAAACAAAUAUAUACAGUGUCCACCAUAUACUGCCUUGGUGAAUUGUGGUGCGCACCUAUGGUGUGCCUUAAGAGCGUGUGCACUAGCUGCUCGAUUUAAAUUGAAUCUCCAAAUAAGUGCGACGCAGACUGUGAACGGCUCGGUGGUGGCAGGCACAGGGCUAUACUGGGCACGAUAUUAAAGGAUUUUUUUAGUUCUUUAUUUUAAUUUCUUGUAGCUAGAGACUAACAAAUUAGGUACGAAGCCUACCUAUAUACGCACGUUUCCAUAGUUCGAUCUCUGUGUACACAAAAAUUUGAGAGAUCCAGGCAAAAAAGAAAAAGAUUCUUUCUACACAAUCAAGCUAUAGGAAUAACCAAUGAUACAAAGUAAAGUUGAGGAAAUUUGGGUUUAUAUUAAGAUUUACCUAUUACUGAUAACGUGUAAAUUUGAAGAACACGGAUUCCUGUAUUUGUAUCCUUGCCUAUACAUACCAGUCCUUGUAUGCAACACCGAUCCUGGUUUAUGGACAGCCGUACAACUACUAGCCUCCUGUCAUUAGAAAAAGAAUCUAAAGUAACUUUCUAAUCUUCAUCUAAAUUAUAUUCACCUGUGUUAUCAUGAAAAUAAAUCUAGAUAACCAUAUUAAUUUGUACCUUAACUACUCCUAUCCACCACUAUAAUGUUGAAUUUGAAUUAUGCACAUCCUCUCUUAUUAAAAAUAACCUAAAGUAAGUCAACAUCUAUGUUAAAAUAAUCUAAAGUAACUCAACACCUAAAGUAACCACCUUAUGUUAAAUUACCAAAUUUUGUCAUUGUUGACAUUGAAAAGACAACUCAAGGUAUACAUUCAUGAUGUGCGCCACAAUUCACUCCCUGUAUACAUAUAUGCAUGAAGUGAUACUCAUAUCUAUUUUCAAAUGAAACAAAUGGCUCAAACUAAGGCUUCAGCUAAACACGCAUCAGUACACAUGGAAGUGCAUUGCAAGGGGCCGCGGCAAAUAUGAAUAUAGAUGAAAAGGUAUCUAUCACAACCGAGUAAGAAAAGUAUCUAUACAAGUAUUGUGCUAGAAUAUAAAUAAAAUGGAGAGAUAAAAAUAAAUAAUUUUAUUAACUGGAUCAGCGAGAAGAUGAGACCCAGAUGGAGGCGACUUGCAUGUUAAUCGAGGUUGUUUUCCGGUAAUUUCUAGCCAAAAUCACUGUAAAAAAAACGGUUUAUAGGGGCGGUUGAAAUAACAUUUUCAGGAGCGGGCUACCCGCUCCUAACUUUCGCUGCUAUAAAUAGCUGUUUGCAAGAGCGGGUAACAUGCCUGCCCCUGUAAAGCCCUUUCUAGGGAGGGUGACGCCAUCACCCGCCCCUGGAAAUAUCGUUCCCGCCAAAAUUUUGUACCAUUUUCGUGCCAAAUUUUUAAAAUGUGGCUCUCAAUCAACCCAUUCAAAUCCAACACUCAAAGAACACUGGAUAUGCAAUAAAGUUAUAUAACCAAUUCCUACAUCAAUAAGGAAAGAGUAGGGGUACAUCCAUGCCACAAUAUAAUAUAACCAACUGUUUCAACAAUAGUGCAAGUUGGUACAUCAAUACUUAAGAUCUUAGAGAGAAUAAUUUUAAAUCCAUAAGAAAAGAGUAGGGGUACAUCCAUGUUACUUAUCUUAUUCUAAUGCGGCUCGCUUCCUUGGAUAUGGAGCAUAGUUAAGGUCUCCAAUUGUCCAGUUAGAACUUCAUCAAAAUAAGUUAGAGCAUGGAUGAGUGCACUCUCUUUUGCUUCAGGUCACAUACACUACUAUAAAUCUCGAACAAUGGAGAGGUUAACUAAUAUGGCCUAUAGUAAGUGAGAUGAGCAUGGAACUUCCAAUCUCUGAUGAAUAUCGGGUUUCCACCCAUGUAAGUCAAAUCAAACACAUCCAAGACUUGAUCCAGAAUCGCAUGAAAAUUCGUUGCCGCAUUGGUAGUACCAAAGAGAUCCUAAAAGAUGAUAAUAAUAUGAUGAAAGUUAAAAGAUGUAACAUAACUAAAGUUAAGAAUGAUAAAAGGAUGUUCAAUACCAUGUCAUGUUCAUUGAGCUGACAAAGCCUCUCAGUAGUCACAAUCACAUUGCUUUCUCCCUCCUCGAGCUGCUUUAUUCAAAAAUAUGACAAGUCUGGCACAAAGUACCCAUGAUCCUUAAGCUGUCUAGGCAGGCCUCCACGGCAGUCCUAUCAAAAGUUACCCUAUUUGGUGCUAUUUGACCCCAUGCGACAAUUGAAACCAUCGGGAUGGCCUCUCCUGGUGUCAUCGAGGUGAAAUAUGUUUCUCGAACAGGUACUUGAAAAGAGAUAUGUACUCUUUUAAAAUGAGGUUCAUUAACAACCUUGGUUUGCAUUGAAGGACAAGUACCACCUAUAGCUUUAACAACAUCUUUGAGCCAUCUAAUAGGGUUUAUAAGCUACAUAAAUUUAGAAUUUAUUCAUGUGUAGUAAAAAAAUUAAUUCAAAGAAGGAAACAAUAUUACUAUGUUGGGAAUUGAUCCGUUCAUUCGAUCGCCUGUUGGAAAGUCAAUAGCGCCAUUAGGGAAGUGAAGUCCUGGACAACGAGCGGGAGGGUCCUCGAAAAAUCCCGGAGGGAAGCACAUCUCCAACUGCACCAUAGUCUCCCCAAUAAAUUCUUGGAGAUGUUUCAAUUCAUCUUCAUUAAUAACCUUUUGAGAAAUUUUGUUGAAGAAGUAACACAACUAAGUGAUAGCCAUCUUCACAUAUACAAACUUGAUCGCUCUAAUUGCAAUUGGAAGGAACAACUUCAGCAUCACAUGACAGCUGUAGCCGGAUAGCGAGAGAUCUUUCAUCGAGACUAGUUUCCUGAUGUUGGAUGAGAAUUGACUUGGUAUUCUAAUCCCCCGUAACGAUUGGCACACUGCCUUCUUCUCAUCUAGUGUCAAGUUGUAGCUAGUCGGGGGUAAUUCAUAUCUUCCAUUCCUCUUAUCGAUAGGGUGAAGGUCUUUUCUUAUCUUCAUGGCUACCAAGUCUUGUCGUGACUUCAGGGUAUCCUUUGUCAUGUCUCCAAGAAGAGACCAAUUGUAUUACCAAACACAUUCUUCUUCAGGUGCAUACCAUUGAUGGCAUGGCGGACCUCAAGGUCCGGCCAAUAUGGCAAGUACUUGUAGAAGAUCGAUAAUUUCUUGAAUGGCACGCCAUCGAUGGGUGGCUUAUCUCUAUUUCUCUUCUUCCCAUCUUUUGUCAUCUUCCCAUAAGGAACCUAGAUGGUCCUGACCAUGUUGAAAACAUAGUGCCCAUCUCAAUUUUCUAGAGCAGAUUCUAGGUCAAGCUAGCCACCAAAAAAAUUAUAGAACUUCUUUCUUUGGUACAUGUGUCCUUCCACCAAGAAGUGUAUGUACCCAAGGUAAACUACCUUUCUAGAACCUUUUAGGAAAGACCAUAUGGUGUCAUCAAUGCACACCGUGCAUCCUUGUCUUACCUUUCACCUGUCCUGACAAGACAAACAACGCUUGGUAAGAAUUGAUGGUGAUGAAGAUAAUGGCUCUUAGAUUAAAUUCCCUCCAUGUAAAACCGUCAAUGAUGUUGAUACCAGUCUUCCAUUAAGUUUCCAUCUCUUGCAUCAAAGGCUUAAGAAAAACAUCUAUAUCGAUGCUAGGAUACUUUGGUCCUUGUAUAAGGAUGGAUAGCAAAAUAUACUUUCACUUUUGGCACAACCAUGUUGGCAGGUUGUACAUCAUCAAGAUCACUAGCCAUGUGUUGUGAGUGUUGGUCCUUUCACCGAACGGAUUCAUUCCAUCCGUACUUGCUGCCGUCACCCACCCAUUUGCAGGGGUAGGUGAUGCCAUCACCCGUCCCUGCAAAUGGUUCUCUAGGGGUGGGCCGCAUGCUACAGUACCGCCCCCAUUUUGUAGGUGCGGGUGGCAAUUUUGCCCGCGCUUAGAAAAAAUGGAGCACCCCUACAAAUUGUUUUUUCAGCAGUGAAGGUAAGUCGGUGACACAUAUGUUCUCGGUGUAGGUCAGUAUGUUUGUGUCAGUUUUGGGUGAGUUGUAACUUUCCUUAAUGUACUGACUGGCACAGGGGACUCAAUAUUGGAUGGCCAUGUGACAACGAGAGCCCUGCCCGGUGCACACGCGAGGCCAGCUGGGUGAUUGCACGAAAAGGGUGCAAACAUGGGCUGAGAGCAAUUAAAAUCUUUUUGGGUCCCGGUGCUUGUGCAUCUAACACUACUAGAAAAAUGAGCAUUCAUCCCGAGACUCAGUACCACUUGCAUUUUGGCCCGGUACUAAUGUGAGCAUUAGUACUGGCCCUAACAGAUAGUCCCCGAGGAGCCCCCUAUGACCCCCUUUAGUACCAGGUAGAGCCCCUUAGGCACAUUAGUACUAAAGGGUUUCCUCCGCUCCGUCCGCGCGCAAGUACUUUGCACUGGCUCCCUCCCUUCCCUCGAGGCGCUAGCUGGCCUUAAUAAUUAAUCCUCCGCUACUCCCUCCGCCUCCCUCACCCUUAUCCAUCCGCUCACCUUGCUCCUCCACCUCCCUCACCCUCUCCCUUAGCUCCUUCCCUCCAGGAGCCCCUCCUUCCCCCUGGCCUCCCCUCUCCUCCCCCCUUCGCUCGCCCCCUCACCUCAUGCCUGAGGCGAGGAGCAACGACGAUUGCGGGCGGCGGGAGCGGCGGCAGGGCGGAGGGCGGAGGUGGAGCGGGCGGAGGGGUGGUGGGGCGGAGGGCAGCGGGGGCAGGGGCGAAGGGGCGGCGGGGCCGGGGGGGCGGAGGCGGAGGGUGGCGGGGGGGAUUCUUUUUUUUUAAUUUUUUAAUACUCCUUUACCUUUAGUACUGAAUUACCAGUACCGCUUGCGAAACUGGUAUUAAAGGGGUUCCCAACCGGUAGUAAAUGUGUUUUUCCUAGUAGUGUGAUGAGGAACUUCACAACAAUACUAUGUGUUUGGUAAUAUAUGCAUGAACAGAACAGCACAACGGCGCAACAGUCAAAUGGCAUGAAUGGCACACUAAUCUGAUGACACAUGAUGUUAGCUAAUGUGAGGAUCUGCUAACUGAGAAGUGUAGCGCAUAUAAAUAAAGGGGAGAUUCUGACUUCUGAGCAUUUCACAACCUUUGCCUCAGCAGAAACUUAAGAUAAGCAAAGUCAAAACCAAAGUUUUCUUCUUCUUGUUUUUUUUAAAAAGCAAAGUUUGCCUAAAUGAGAUGUUGGGGAAAAAUAAAUAGAGCGUACAUCAUAUGCUGUAUUGAUGAAUUGGGGUUAGGGCACCCUCCAUUAAUAUGUUCCCUCUUCGACCUUGACAGUCACCACAGUAUCACCAUUGCCAAGCUCUUCAGCCUUGACAGUCACCAUAGUACCACCAUCGCCGACCGGCAAGCUCAACCUGUGCUGAACCAAUCCACGUCGCUUCUCAACAGUUGCCGAUCAGCGCCGGAAUGAAGAAGAUCGAGGAGCAGGAUAGCAGUAACCGUUAGAAGAAUAGGAGAGAAUAACUUUUAAACCUAUGGGUCUGAUUGGUUUCAGGAUCCUAUGGGUCUGGCUCGUAUCAGGCAUGCAGGAUCCCGACAGCUAGGCUCUCCCCAUAAUUGGUAUCUGAUUGGUUGAAGUCUCUAUCGAGCCAGGCUAGCUAAAUAACUUGAUUGGUUGCUUGGUUAACCAGUGCUUAGCUGCUUUUCUUAUGUCUAUGCGCACCUCUCGAGGACUCACCGCUGCACCGCGCGAGCCUGGCUCCGAGGAAACAAGGACUUUUAUUGCAUCUCAGGAGCCAGGCUCAAGGAGUCCUUUUGCAUCCCGCGGGACAGGCUCAGUAGCUAGCGCAGGCAACCAAUCAACCCAAAGCUACAUCCCGAGAGCUUGGUUCGCCUGCCAUGCGGGGAACCUAUCACCCCCUAUAUGGCAGUAGCUCUCAUGCCGGCUACGAAAAUGCAAGCCUCGCUGUUUACUGAGUCUAGUACUCACAACCAGGUCAACUUACACCUCAAGGAACUUAAUGACAACUGAGCAUAAGUUCGCUUAUAUGGCUAACAAUUGCAUCAGUAACAGUACGGUGCGGCAGCAACAGCAUGGGCGACACCCCUAGCCCUGGCUUGGCUGCCCCUGGGCCCUGGACAUGGCGUGGCUGCCGCCCAUGCCAUGGCUGGCCCUGGCCUGGCCUGGGCGCCGGCCCUGACCCUGCUGCCAGUGCCCAAGGACUGGCCGGCCGCGGCCGUGGCCGAGGAAGUCAGGCUGCAUGGUCUGCACUGCUUUCCUAGGCUGCGAGCGGCGCCAGCUGCGGCAAGACGGUAAUCCGUCCGACUGCCAUGUCAGUACAGGUAACAUGAUUGACCAAAUGCCCCUGAAGCUGACGCAGGUAAAGAUGCAAUGCAACAGCAAGCUGGAAUGAUGCAAUGACGGAUGCAAGCAAAUAAAAGGUGGGUCUUUUUCCCGUUAGUUUCUUUUUUUUUUGAGACGGCUUGCAUCUAACUUGUACUCCCAUAUUAUACUGGAGAUACAAUUGAUGGAUUGAUGAACGCAGUCAGUUGAAACUUGGAUCAGAAAUCAUUUGAAACAGUCAUGUUUGCCGUAUGCUCAUUAUGGCAUUCUAUAUGCUCAUUAUUCCAUCUAUGCUCACUAAUAUCUUUUUUCCCCCGACGAACUACGCUCACGAAUAUGGCAAUUUUAUUUUUCCCGUAGUGUAAAAUAACAGCGGAACCAUAGCUGCAGGAAAAAAGAAACACUCCAUUAUGCUUAAAGUAACCACGAUACAUCAAACAUGGGUAAAGCAGACAAUUCUCAUCAAACCCUCCUAUUUCUGUUUUCUAGAGCUGGAGCAAUACAAUCAGCUAAAUGGGUGGAGUAACUCUAUGUUUUCUUUGGAGCUCUAAGGUGGAGUUGCUCCAGGAUGGAGUUGGUGGAGUGAAACUAGUUUUUGUAGACUGGAGUGCUCCCAAACAGAUCCUAACAUUAUGCCAUGUGUACAAUAUUGUUGUGAAGUUCCUCAUCUGAUGCACCGACUUAGUUGGUAACCUGGUCGAGGCUUUGCUAUGGUUGGCAGCUCCAGCGUGGCAUUCUAGAGGGUGAUAACAGGAGGGGAACAUACGAAGAGAGUGCAAUAAUACAUUAAAGCACUUGGUUAUAGCUUGGGCAUAUGGUUGGCACCGGGUCGGAGCUCAAGUGUAACGAACGCUCGAUCGGCGCUCCGGCAUGUACGUACUACAAUCAUCUCAUCGGCCAAUCGGGCUGUAAACUCUUCCAUAUGCACAUAGGACACACUAGUGGAGGGUGCCUCGAUUCCUCAAGAAAUCAGGCGAUGCACGCUCUAUUUGUCUUUCUCCAACGUCUCAAUUUAGACGAAUUGGUUUAUUCUGCAAUUGCUUCAUCCUCCAACGUCUCAACUUAGACGAUCGACGAGCUGGGUUCUUAAGCAAUUUCUUAUCUUUUCUGCUCAAGCAAGGAGCAAUAAUGUGUUCAGAACUUUCAAUUUUAUUUAUAGGCGCUUCAUUUCUCGAUCAGUUAGCAGGUCCCUCAGCAUUAGCUAACAGCAUGUCUCAUCUGAUUAGUGUGCUCUUCAUGCCAUUUGACUGUUGCACCCCUGUGCUGUUCACGAACCAAAAGUUUUUGUCAUAUUAUAUUGUGCAAUUGUGCAUGUAUAUGCGGAAGUAUCAAUGAAAAGAAAUAAACGAGCUAGGGGUCCUACUGCCCACAGCUAGUCUUUGUAACUGAGCAAUAAAUUCGUUUAUGUUUUUUAGAUAAAGGAAUAAAUUCGUUUAUAUAGCUAGCAAUGAAUAACUGAGCAUAAAUUCGUUUAUAUAGCUAACAAUUGCAUGAGUAACAAUAGGGUGCUAUAUUUCAAUUGAAGCAAUACAGAAUUUAACAUGGAGAACAACACAGCGUCUGCUUGGUCAAAGUCCAUAGACUAAUACAAAGUUUAGCAUGUCAAUAAGAUAAACAUACUUUUUUUUGAACGAAUGGGCACGGGAUAGUGCCUAUUUCAUUGAGAUAGUAGAUUAUUACAAGAUUGUUACAAAAGUGUUACAAUUAUAUUCCUUUUUCUAACGCGAUUACUCUCUUGAUAAGAAAAACGCUAAGGCUUUCGCCCCUGCUGAAAUCCAUGUGCCUGCUUCCUCUUUGAUUUUUGCCAACAGUGAGGUUGUGGCCAUCUCAUGAUGGUUGAAAAUUCGCCGAUUCCGCUCCUUCCAGAUUUCCCAUAUUAUCAGCAAUCCCAUAGAGCAAACUCCUUUCCGAGGAGCUUCGGUCCUUGUAGUCAUAUUCAUCCACCAAUCUAGGGCAUUGUCGGUUGGGGGCCAUUCCGAAGGUUGCAGGCUGGGUUGCGAAGCCCAAAUGGCAACAAGGCUCCAUAUUCGCUUGAUGUAUCUGCACUGAGUCAAGAGGUGAUGUGCUGUCUCUUGUUGUACUCGGCAUAAAGGGCAAUCUGGUGAGUGAGGCCAUCCUCGUCGCGCAAGUCGAUCAGCUGUCCACACACGGUCCUGCAGUAUCAACCACGCGAAGAAUUUGCACUUCGGGGCGCCCAACAUUUCCAUAUUGUUUUGCUGUGCGGUGCAUAAGUGGAUCCUAGGAACUGUGCCUUGUAUGCUGAUGCCGCUGAGUAUUGUCCAUUUUGCGUGAAUUUCCAACGGAUUGUGUCUUCCUGUCGUGUUUGCAGCCUUACUGUUGCUACUAGCCGCCAUAGUGUGACGAAUUCUUGUAAGUGUCGCGUUGUCAGUCCGGCAUGGAUGUUUAUGUCCGCCACCCAGCUAUUGUUGUGUAAGGCUUCUGCGAGUUUUUUUAUGUUUCCCCCUAGAUAGUUUAUAUAUGUUGGGCGCAAUGUCCUUUUGUCGAGUUCCCCAUCCCCAAGCUGAGUGCCAGAAGCUUGUUCUGCGUCCAUUGCCCACUGUGAUAGUUGUGCAAGCCGCGAAUAGGCGUUGGUCAGAGUUGUCGCAUGGUAUGCCCAUUCCAAUCCAUGUUUUCCCCGGGGACUCCCACUCAUGCCAAAUCCAUCGCAGUCUCAAUGCUCUAGCAAAAUUAUGGAGGUUCAACACUCCUAGUCCGCCAUUGUCUUUCGGUAAGCAGGAUUUUAUCCAGUUGACCUUGCAUUUGCCACCUGUCAGCAUAUUGUCUCCGGCCCAGAUGAACCGUUUCCUCAUUUUGUCUAGUUCUUCCAGAACUUCGCGUGGUGGUUUUAGGACGGUUAGUAGAUAUAAAGGUUGCGCAGAGAGCACGACUUUGGUGAGGCAGACUCGGCCUGCUUGUGUGAUGUUGCGAUUGUGCCAUCCAGAUAGGUUCUUAGCUGUUUUGUCGAUUAGGGGUUGAAAGUCUACUUUCUUUAGACGCCUUAUCGCAAGUGGUAGCCCGAGAUAUUUUAAUGGAAAUCCUGUGCAAGUGAUCGGCCAUUCAGAGAGGGUUUUGUCGAGGUCUACGUUAUUGCAGCUGAUGGGAGCCACUGUUGUCUUUUGUAGAUUUGUUUGGAGUCCUGUGGCCUCCCCGAAUAGGUUCAAGAGUUUUGUGACAUUUGUGACAUCUUCUUGUGUUGGCUUUAUGAAAAUGACCGCGUCAUCAGCGUACAUAGAGAUGCUGGUGCCUGGCGUACGUCCACCUAGCUUUUUGAGUAGUCCCAUACCCGUCGCCGUGUGUAUUAGUUGGUACAGUGGAUCUAUCGCCAGGAUGAAAAGGAAGGGGGAUAGGGGGUCUCCUUGUCGUAGUCCUCGCCCAUGCACUAUUGAGUCGGAUGGAAUUCCAUUUAUCAGGACUUUGGAGGUUGAUGUGGCCAGUAAUGCCGUUAUCCAGUUUCGCCAUCUUGUGGGAAAUCCUCUAUGUUGCAAUAACUCGAGCAGGUAGUCCCAGCGGACAGAGUCGAAAGCCUUUGAGAUGUCCAGCUUCAUUAGCAGCGUCGGCAUUCUGUGCCUGUGAAAUCUUCUUGCCAUAUUCCGAACAUAAAGGAAAUUGUCGUGGAUGCUUCGUCCUUUAAUGAAGGCACUUUGGCUUGGCGAUAUCAGUUUGUCCAUGUAGGGCUGAAGCCUAGUUGCCAGCAUUUUGGUAAUGAUCUUUGCGAUGGCGUGUAUGAGACUUAUCGGUCUCAAGUCAUUGAUGCUUUCAGCUCCGUCCUUUUUGGGUACUAGCACUAUGGUUGCUGAGUUAAGUAAAUUUAGGUCGUUGCAUCUACCGGCGUAGAAAGCGUUUACUGCCGCUAUAACAUCUCCUUUAAUUAUACUCCAGCAUGAUUUGAAGAACAAGCCAGUGAAGCCGUCUGGUCCCGGCGCUUUAUCUUUGGGCAGGGCAGUUAUUGCAUUUUGUAUUUCCUUGUCCGAAAAAGGGUUGUCAAUUCCAGUUAAGUCCACUGCUGGAAAAUGUAGCUUUUCCCAGUUGAAGGCUUUGGUGCGGGCAGGUGGUGCAGACAUCACGCUGUCGAAGUGGUUUUGGAUUAUCUGCUGUUUUUGUAUGUGUGUUACGGCCCAGCCAUUACCCCUCUUCAAUCGUUGAAUGAAGUUUUUUCUCUUCCUCCCAUUUGCCUUGAGGUGGAAAAACUUAGUAUUUGCAUCACCUUCUCGUAGAUAGGUUAUCCUAGAGCACUGUUUCCUUCUUGCUUUUUCUAUGGUCGCCCAUCCUAAGAGUCGUUUUUUGAGUUUGCUCCGUAAGCUGUGCUCCGGUUCUGUGAGUGUUCUUGUUUCCUCGGCUACGUCAAGGCGUAGGAUGACUUCUUGAGCCAUAUGCAUUUUUAAGCGAGCGUCUGAGACAUGCAUUCGGCUCCAUGAUCGCAGUGCUUGGGCUGUUUUGCGCAGUUUGUAGCCCAGUGUAUGGAACGGCUCAGUGUGGGUAGUCGGCUUUGACCAUUCCUGGUUAACGAUCUCAUAAAAUCCUGGUAACCAUGUCCAGAAGUUUUCGAAUUUGAAUGGCGUCGGUUUGCGAGGCCCCGAUUGUUGCGCCAGUAGUAAAGGGCAGUGGUCCGAGUGCGAGGAAGAGAGAGCGUGGAGGACGUGGUCAUCAAAUUGUAGGUCCCAAGAUGCAUUGCAGAAAACUCUAUCGAUUCGCGUUAGCGUCGGCUGCUGCCUUGCAUUGCUCCAGGUAAAUCUCCUGUUUUGUAAGUGGAUUUCUUUAAGUCCGCAAUAAUUCAGUGUUGCUCUAAAUCUCCUCAUAAGCCUCCGGUUUAGUUUGUUGUUAUUCUUGUCUCUUGCACUGUAUAUUAAGUUGAAGUCGCCCAGAAUUAGCCAUUGAGUGUUGUCAUCAGGCGUCGUUGCUCGCAGGUGGCGUAGGAAGGCAGACUUUGCUGAGUGUCGUGAUGGGCCGUAAACCGUCGUGAGUUUGAACCGAAUGUUACUGUGUUUAACUAUUGCUAUUGCUGAGAUAGAAAACCGACUUGUUUGAAUGUUCUGUAUGUCAAAAACUCCUUCAUCCCAGAGUAGGAGGAUACCGCCCUUUGUUCCUGAAGCCGCUUGGUAUGCAAAGUUAUUUAAGCGAGGUCCCCCUAGGAGGUUUGCUAGGGCCGCAUCUAUAUUUUGCAUCUUUGUUUCCUGCAGGCAUGCGAUGUGGCAUGUUGUCGCCGCAAUGGUUUCGCGAACUGUGAGACAUCUUGCAGGUGCAUUUAGCCCUCUCACAUUCCAGCUCAUUAUUUGAAACUUGUCAUUCAUUUUUAAGUUAUUUUGUGGCACAUGAAGAUGGACUGGCCGGGUUGUAGAUUUUGUAGCAAUUGGUGCGGCGGUGUUGCUGUGACUCGCAGAAUAUUAAUCCCGUAGGUGUGCUUCUCAGUAUGCGUAGAUGUUGUUGUGGCUGAAUCAUGUUCGUUGUCGCAUUUUGUCACAGUGAGAGUUGGCGUCGAAGGUUUAGGUUCGUAGUAGUCGGGGCAUAGUUUGUAGUUCAAGUGUUUUGCCCGAAGGUCGCAGCCAGCAGGGCUAAGAUGAAGUCCUCCCCGAAGGUCGCAGCCAGCAGGGCGAGGAACUGAAAUAGAAAUUACAUAAAGGUAGCGGUAGCGGGAGCGAUACAUGAUAGAGUAGUAAGACGCUUGAUGCAAUUGCCGUGGCAGAACUCUCAUGUAGCCGCAUGGUCCAUCUGCUGGAGCUCUCCCACAUCAUCACCUGCCAUCUGUAGGAGUGCUUCGUUCACUUGGUCCGCAGCUUCGUCGUCAAGGUCGAAGAGGGCGGUCAUGGCUGAUAUGAUGAAGUCCGGCAGCGCCCCCUGAAACAUGUUAAGAAAGUCCUGCAGCACUUGUUCAAUUGGUGCCAUCUCGUCAUUGCCAACACCUAAUUUUCUCCAUAGGUUUUGUUGCGCGCGUUCAACUGAAAUAACCAUAACUAUAGUUUUGAAAGAAAAACUAAUCAAGAGGAAAACAAUGUAGCUACCCAUUUAUACAUGCAUCCUAUGCCAAGAUAAUAUACUCCCUCCGUUCCAAAUUGCAAGUCGUUUUAGCUUUUCUAGGUUCAUAGAUAUUAUUAUACGUCUAGACAUAUAAUAUAUCUAGAUGCAUAAUAAUAUCUAUGCACCUAGAAAAGUCAAAACAACUUACAAUUUGGAAUGGAGGGAGUAGAAGAAUAAGUACUACAACUCUUCCUCCGUUGCCCUUUCUCCAAGCAGUGCUGGAACAUUGCAGGCCUACAAGUGGAUGACACAACCUCUGGUUACCAAAUUCUUGAAUCUUUUAAACACCAACUGGUGCAGCCCUUUUUCAUGGAAGUGAUAAUCAUCAUGUCCUGGAGCAUAUGGACAACAAGGAAUGGUUUGACAUUUGAAAAUCAAACAGCCACAGCUCAAGGUUGUAAAGAAAUAUUCAAGCAUGAAUUCUCCAGAGUCAUCUACAGAUCAAACACAAAAUACCGCCCGGCUUCAAUCCUUAUCGUAACUAUUUUCGUUUUCUUUUCCGCUUUGUUGUCAAUAACCUUUUUUGCUUUUAAUAUAUAACCUGUAGGCCCCCCCACCCCCACACACACCCUAAAAAAAGAAAAAAACUAAUCCAUACCAUUGAAGGCUAAUUGUAAUCCACAUAUCGAUGUACUAUGGACAUUACUCAUUCUCAUUUGAUGAGCUAAAGAAGUUUGGGAAUGUUUCUUAAAAAAAAUUGGGAACCCCAUUAUAUUGUUUGAUGGCAGACCACCAUAAAUAGAGGCUUGCGCUGACAGGGCAAGUCUUUUUAGAGGGUGUUGUGGUAAUGAGGUGCUUGCCUGCAUCGAGAAACAGAUAGGGCAUCUAGCAUCGACCUUGGCUCGCUUGAACCAAGGGCCCUCGACCUAGCAAAAGCAAUUCCUCAAUCUUGAAAGUGGGUCGAACAGUUUCUCCAACGUACAAACCAAAACUUUUGCUUCUGCGCAAUGGAUGUGAUUCCUCUACGCAUGCCAAGGACAUGUUUGUGGAGGCUGCCUCAAUUCGUAAUGAUGUGGUAUAUGAUACACAGUCCAUCUGUUUUUCCCCAACAUCCCAUUUACACGAACUUUGAUAAGGUUAGUAAAACAUGCUGGGAACUUCCACUAAUAUAAGGGGGGCAUCAGCGCCUUUGUUGCGGUUUAGCGGUUUAGAGUUUCCAUUUUGCAUUUUUGAAACGAAUCAGGCAGAAGUUUCCAUUUUGCAUUGUAUCAAGGGAAGGGGGAAGAGUCUAGAGGGAGGUAGUUAGCCAAAUUUGCCCGCCACAUAGGACUGCCACGGACGACAUCUCCUAUUCAUAUCCCUGCUGAGUUUGUCCAAAUUGUUUUAAGAUUAUAAUUCCAGAUAGCACGGUUGUUUUACUGUAAAUCUAGACCUAGUGGCUAACUAACUGACCACAGAACAUGUUAUAAUUUUCAUCAAUUGCUUUAAGGAUGCCUUGACAGAGACUAUACAACGACUCAGAUCCUCCUAGUACAACAGAAUUACUUCAAUAACUCAAUUUUAAUGUAUUUAGUUUCCCUACCAAACAAUGUCCGCUUUAUUGUUGCAAAAUACUUCCAAAGAAAAAAAUCAAACAUGCCAGAAGAACGCAAAAGAUCUUCCUCGCAUCCAUGGUAAUAAGCAUCUUGCUAUUGUCUGUGAUUUGGUGCAAAUCUCAAUAUUUGCCUCCUUCACCAUCUCGGGCACUGCGGUCCUAUCCUUGAAAUAGAAUUGAGAAGGCAUGGGGUUCCUACAAAUAGAACUGUUCCUAAUAUCAUUGCAUUCUUCCCACAGAGGGUCGCUCGAGCCAACUAUGCCUCCUCCAAAAUGCAUGUUUGAACAUCAUCUAUCAUUAACUUUUUUUAAUGGAGACUGUACAUCAUCUAUUGGAACUGUUUUCUACAUAAAUAAGGUCAAAAAGUCUUCCAGUUUAGAAACAAAACUUCCAGAACUCAAACUGAUCAUGUAUUUAUUUUCCAGAACAACCAGUAUUCAUUCAGUAAUAUAACAACGCUGAGGAAAAGUAUAUCCUGGAUGGCAAAUACCACAUAGAGAAUACAAGCACAGGCGCGCGCGCGCACACACACACAGGGAGCAAUGGAGGUCACGUCGUCAACAGCUCACCUCGCAACCCCAACACAUGAACGGACACCACCGCCGGGACACACGACGUCGACCUCUCAUCUGUGUCUGUGUAGUUGCCUUUGUUAUAUUUGGCAUGAUCUGGUGAUCGAAACCGAAACGGGUGGGAUCCGCAGAUUCCAUGAAAACAUAACUGGAAUAACCUACAAAUAAAUGCUGAGGUGUGAGGCCUUACAAUACUAUCUGGUCCGAUCAAAUUAAGUUAAGCUGGUUUCAUCUUAUUUCUGAUCAUCAUCUGCAUCUAUUGCCAAAAAAAAAAUCCAGAGAGAAGUUGGCAAUAAUAGCUGAGCUGAUAUCUACAUCUAUAUAUGAUUUAUUUGCAGCAGGUCUUACCUUGGUUUGGUAAUGUGUUCCUCAUAGCUGCUGGUAGUAGCUGGGCAUGGACUGCCUGUGGAGCGAUUUUCACUGCUGGGUCGACGGCGGCCACCGCCGGAUGGCCGUACAUGUACCUGCGGUUAUCAGGCCCUGCCCUUGCCACGUUGCUACCCCACGGCCUCAGGCUGCUUCCACCGCCGGUCGGCUGAGCGCUCUCAUGGUGGCUGCUGGUGGCGGUGGAGGACCAACGGGAGGGAAUCGUCGCCGUGACACCGUCGACGGACGGUGGAGCAGAUGAUUUAGGAGUAGAGUAUUCGCUGUAGCAAUAUAAGGAUGGAUCCUCUGGCUGGAACCGGGUGGAUGUAGCCGCGUCCGUGCCUUGAGACGCGGAGGACGAUGGCCAUGUCAUGGCACCGUUGGCAUAGGUUGGAUAAUGUGAUCUUGAAGUGGGGUAGUAAAUCGACGAGGACGGCGUCGUCCAAGGACACGGCGCUGCCCAGGUCCUCCCGGCACUCUGCAGGCCUCCUACGCUGCCAUCAACAGACCUCGGGAGAGACCAAGAUGGAAGAAGGGAUGCAGGUUGACGAUGGAAGACUGCUGAUGAUGACCUCGAGAGAGACCAAGAUGAAAGAAGGGAUGCAGGUUGACGAUGGAAGACUGCUGAUGAUGACCUCGAGAGUGUCACAGCCGGCGCUCCGGUGAGGGUUGGCGGCAGGCGCGUCCCUAGGGUGAUGGCAGACGAUUGCGCCGCCGACAAUGACCCGUAUGAGGUGGUAGCCAACGAUCUGCUGGAAGAUGAGGCAACGGAAGGCCUGCUCAUGGCAGCUAGCUGUCGAUGCGUAUGCUUGUAGCUAGGGUCUAUGGUGGGAGGGUGGAAUUCUCCAAUGACUUGUUUAAAUUCGAAGCGCUAACUAAAGGACUGCUCCGCUGUUCCUUUCCAUGAAAGCCGCUUCAUAAUAUUAAUCUCAAAGCAACCAAGUAAAAUUUGAUAUGCAUUGUUAAUAGUUAAACCAACAUCCCAGCUCUACCUGCUACGUGCCAAGUCCAUACCAACUGAACUCGCCAUGAAAUCCUAGUCACAAGAAGAGCAAUGUCAACCUUCUUGAGCACUUUUUUCUCACAAGAAGAGCAAUGUCAACUUCAUCAUCGUCAUCAUUUGCCUCCUUCUUAAUGUGUAAUUUCUUCUCUUUAGUUGCCUUGAUUGCAAUAUCAUUCUUCUUCAAGGAGGAAUCGCCUUCUUCAUGGCAAUGCUCAUGUACAUCUCAUUGCCAUUAAUCUUCCCCAUGAUUUGAACAAUGUUAUACUUCUCUUUUGGGAGGAUGCUAAGAAGUCUUUUAUGAGACCCAUCUCCAGGAAAGGCGUUUUCGAUGACAUCGGUUGAGUCAUCACGGAUGCGUGCUUAUACAACGCAUAUGUGCCUUCCUAGUCUGAGCCCGAACUUUUUUCCAAAACCCAAAUGAAUGAAUCUUGUGUCCGCCACAUCUCCUCACGCCACCAUUUCCUCUCCUCCUGCGUCCCCUCUCCCAUCUCCGCCUCGCACUGUCAGAUCCCUAUGACAAUCUUCUCACUGCCAUGAAUCUAUUGGCUUUUCUUAUUGGAUAUUGUAUAUAUAUAUGGUCAUACGAAUUCCACUUGUACAUAAAUUAGGUCCAAUUGAAACCAAAUCAAAUAGGUUUCAGACUUGUCAGUCUAGGAUAAGGAUGCAAAUUGCACUUGUAAAUAAAGUAGAUCUCUAACUGAAGCCAAGUCAAAUCCAUCUAUGCUAGGAAGGUCGUUGACUGGCCAGCCAAUGGUUCUGUUCUACCUAAUCCUGGUAUAUAUAUAUCUGAAUAAUUGCGGUGGCAAUGUCCAAAUUGCUUCACGCAAAGGCGCUAGACAUAUCAUUGGUUGCACAUUGACAAAACUAAAAUGAGGAGAGACCAUUGUGUGUCUUGGUCUUACUAUGGGUGAUGAGUGAUUGAUAUGAUUCUUGAAGUGGUUUGAAGGUGUCCGUGUUGCAUAGCAUGCAUAUGCAUGUUUCAAUUAUAUUGUACUCCUUCCAUUUUAAACUGUAGGUCAUUUUAGCUUUUCUAGGUUCAUAGAUGUUUGUAUGCAUCUAGACAUACACUAUAUUUAGGUGCAUACAAACAUCUAUACACCUAGAAAAGCCAAAAUGACAUACAAUUUGGGACAGAAGGAGUACAUGAUUAUACUUUGGCUGACCAGAAGCACGGUGUUGGAGAAACAUGUCUAUUGUGUUGGAGAUGGCAUGUUAGCAUUAUGUGGUCGAUAGCCUAGGUUCGGUUCCAACAGAUCAAUGAACAAGGGGGGUUUUGCGCUGACGAACCCUGCAGUGUUGAAGGCGAGUUGAGGCUUGAUGCUGAGAGACUCUGCAUCAACGACCCACAUCCCCCGCAUGAAGAUCACAAUGAAACAUGAAGUGAAAAGAGGUGAUGAAGACCGAGAGAGAGAACUAUAUAAUGGAGGCUUAUAUUUGGUAGGGUACCGUGAGAUUCCAGAUGGCUAAAAAAGGAGGCCAUCAAGAUUUUAACGCCAAACGGCUCUUAAGCUACCAUUCGAAUUAUCUAAAGAACUUGCAAAUAAGAACAUUGGAAUGCAUAAAAUGGUGCUAAUUCCACAAAUGGUAAAACAUAGUUGGACAGCUUGUAACGGAAAACAACUGCAUACAUAAAGGAACAAUGAUAAUUAUUUAUCUCCAUAUGUUUCUAUGUAAUGGCCAGCAACUGAACAAUGUCAAUUAUUGAUCUCCAUGUAUGUAUUUAUACAAGGAAACAAUUCUCUAUUUGACACUACAAAAACUACUAGUUCCUUUCUUAGCCCUCAAAAUAAUUUUAGUUCUCUAUUUGACACCAAGUUCAACUUUCGUUCCUUAUACGACACUCUGUUGGAUUUUCCAUCCGGGAACCAUUAAAUGCCCUGCUGUCGGGGAUAGAUCCCCAGUACCCGCCAGGAAGAAAAAAAACGGACUCCUACUAGGAUUCCCCUGUAAUCCUACUAGGACUCAUAACAUGUAAUCCUACUAGGACUCCUCCUUGUAACCGACUAGUAAUCCUGCCCCCUGGAGUAUAUAAAGGAGGGUAGGGGUAUCUAGAUCGGCACCUCAAACCUCAACUCAGAACAGAGGACCAAAUCCUCGCACUACGACACCAAGCGCAGGAUGUAAUAUACAACACCCCAAAUAGGAUGUAGGGUAUUACGCUACUUUAGCGGCCCGAAUAUGUAUAAAUCCGUGUCUUGUGUGCUCGCUUUUACCUUCGAGUUCCAGGUCCGACGAUUCCCCACCGACCAAUCUACUACCUCAAGUACCCCCUUGGUAGGUUGCCGGUAUAAAAUAUCGACAGCAGGCGCACCACGAGAGGUGAUCGUUGAGAUCAUCGGGCAACCUUGAAGGACCUCAUCAUCAAGAUCAGUCUACUCAGCAUGAAUCGGUGGAUCAUUUCGACGAGGUCGAGAUCGGAGCGGACCAAUUCACGUUCGUCACCAGCAAAUUUACCGCUCACCCGGAGCUAGGCCCCACACGCGAUCGUCGCCUCGUCGGCUUGGCGGGAUCAAAAAAAUUCUUUCCGCCUCCAAGUCGAAGACACCAGACGUGUGAAGCAUCAAAACCAAAGUCGCUUCAUUUGAAUUCAAGGCGGCCAGUUCUACUUCAUUAUUGGUGCGGUGCUAUCUCCGAAUCGGUUUCAACUGUCAAGUUCAAGAUUGCAAUCAGACCGAUUAUUUCCGAGUAUACACCGAGAGUAGGAAGCGGAGACAACUCCUGACUCCUCAGCAGCAAGACCAAGGCAACCUUUUUCUCUGCCGCGAGGAAUCAAAUAAGUGAGAUUCAACUACGUGCACUCCAAAAAAUCACCACGAAAAAAAGUCACCACGAAAGUUGCGGAUCAUCGCUACAUGCACACCAAAGAAGGCACCAGGGAGCUUCGAGAUUAUUUUUCCUUUCACUCAAUGUACACGGAAGAUGCGCGAGAGCAUCACUACAUCAAACGUCCAGUCGCGUCGACUCGCCGGCGACUACUUCAAUUUCACGAAGGCGCUCGGCGACCUGCCGACGACUACUUCGACCACUCAUCUCGACUAGGAAACUAGUCGAGGGUGGAUCUCACUUCGUCAACAACUAGUCGGAAUCGACUCCGACUAGUCGACCUCACCAAUAGCCAUCACGGCUUCAUCGACGACAACCUCAACUACUCGUCUCGACUGCAAAACUAGUCGAGGAUGGACUACUUCAACUACCCAUCUCGACUAAGAAAAUUAGUCGGGGUGAACUUCGCACCGUCGACAACUAGGUGACUCCGACUACUCGACUUCGUCAACAACCGUCACGGUUUCAUCGAUGACUGCCACGGCUUUGUUGACAAUCGUCCACGAAUCAAGCUAAGUCACUUUUUUAAUUUUUUCGACUUUGUUUUCCGCAUGCAGGGCAACACGCCGACUACCUUUUUGCGUAUGUCUCUCGAUGGGAAUUACCCUCCAGAGCUACACGUCGCCGACUACCUUUUUGUGUACGUCUCUCGACGGGAAUUACCCUCCAGAGCUACACUUCGCCGACUACUCGCCGGAGAGCAGCAAACUCUUUUGCGCAAUCACACAGUUCUCUUUGUCGUAUUGACGACUACUCUUUUUGUCUUCUCUUAAGGUCACUAAUCUUCUCGAGCAGAACACGCCUUAAUUCGUGAAAGCCUCGAGUGCACCUGUCACGCCUAAAUGCUAGCACACGUACACGAGACAAAGCUCUCAGCUGUGCAAACAGCAGUGCCAAUACAUGUAUACGAGACAAAGAUCUCAUACACACGCAAUGACAAUGGCUAAACGGGGACUGAGAGCCUAAACGUAACAGGCUAACUACUCAGAAAGAAUAUGAAUCAAAUAAGAGCAUGACACAUAAUAUUGAUCACUGAAUAAAUUUCAGCAGUUUUAAUACCUACAAAAAUGCUACAUAAUGUACGCAUCUUUUCUUUCAGGUCAAGCUUCGGCGACGAUGCUCCAUUACACUCAGCGUACCUCCAAAGGCACAGCUAGCUCCCAAAUUCGGGCGCAAAACGCCAGUUACUACUCGGAAUAUCUCUAGUGGCUCAGCUAGCUUCCAAGCUCGGGAGCUAAGCGCCAAUAAGUACUCGACGUGGUUCCUCUAGCUCAUCUGGCGCAUAAGCUCGGGGGCUGCACGCCCGCAAAAACUACUCGGAUGAUGACUUACAUGAAGAUUCAAGACCCUUGGAAUGAUUAUUCAAUCAUUUCAAGGCUCAGGGGCUGAUAACUACACGCAACAGUUGAUUUUUUCAAAUUGAAAGAAGAAGAUUCAAGAUUUCAUUGACCCUCAGCCUGAUUCUUCGAUUCAACCUAAGGCUCGGGGGCUACUCCAUAUGGAGUGCGACUUUCGCUGCCCUCCAUAUACGAAGACUACAAUAUCAAGAUGAUCAAAGCUUUGAGCACACCAUAGCCUCAUAGUAGCUUUGAGAAACUUUGAAGAGCCAACUAGAUAAAGUACUCAAAGAGUACCAAAACUACUCGGUGAGGAUCUUAAAACUCCUCAAAGACUGCUGCAUUCGACUAUAAAGCGCUUGGGGGCUUGUCGGGAUAGAUCCCUAGUACCCGCCAGGAAGGAAGAAAACGGAAUUCUACGAGGAUUCCCUUGUAAUCCUACUAGGACUCAUGUAAUCCUACUAGGACUCCUAACCGACUAGUAAUCCUGCCCACUAAAGUAUAUAAAGGAAGGCAGGGGUACCUAGAUUGGCACCUCAAACCUCAACUCAGAACAGAGGACCAAAUCCUCACACCACAACACCCAAGCGCAGGGUGCAAUAUACAACACCCCAAACAGGACGUAGGGUAUUACGCUACUCUAGCGGCCCGAACCUGUAUAAAUCAGUGUCUUGUGUCCUCGCUUUUAUCUUUGAGUUUCAGGUUCGGCGAUUCCCCACCGACCAAUCUACUACCUCGGGUACUCCCUCGGUAAGUUGCCGGUAUAAAAUACCGACACUUGCUAAAAUAUGAUUUUGCUCCUAUGGGCCCCACCACCCUUCUCCCUCCUCUCCUCCCCUUCUCCCUCCUCUGCUCCACAUCGCACGGGCUCGUCAGCACCUCCUCCGACCGUCGCCGCCCUCCACCCGACCUCGCCUCCCCGCUGCUCCACACCGCCGUGCCUCUCCCGUUCAUCCUUGUUGCCGCAAGGGCCGGCCCCUUCCCUCCCCUCCCAACCCCCCUCUGCCCUUGCACCCCCCCUUUUCCGCUCACUCGCUCGCUCUCUCCCUCGCCCGUGACUCGCCGCGCGGCGGAAACGCCACUGCCAAGGUGAGAUCCGUGUCGGCCCCGCCUCCUCCAAUCUCCACAGGUACGGCCACAACCCGCUUUGCCCAGAUUGUCAUGCCCUCGUGCCGCUCAGAUUUGAUCUCGCUCAAUUUGGCGGUGAUUGAUUUGGUUUCUCUCUCUUUGUGGGUGGGUGCGUCGGAUUUGCGUGCGUGGUGCAGGGCAGGCAGAGGAGGAUGGGGCUGAGGGAGAUGGCGGUGGAGGAGGGGGCGAUGUCGACGACGAGGAUGCUGGCGGGGAGGGGCGCCCGUGGCGACAGGUGCAGUUGUGCGCGGCAGGCCGUCCCCUUGACGGUGACAGGUGCUAGCUGUGGCAGGCAUGUACAGGGAGAAGGGGAGGGGAGGAGGGAGAAGGGUGGUGGGUCUCACAGGAGCAAAAUCGUCUUUUCACAAGGUAUUUAACGGUUCCCGGAUGGAAAAUCCAACAUAGUGUCUAUAAGGAACGAAAGUUGAAUUUAAAUCCAAUAGGGAAUUGUCUCUAACUUGUAUGUGUGUAUAUAUAAAUAUAUCUAUAUUAUUUACAUUAGCAAAUAUCCACGUCUAGCUACUUGACUGCAAUGUCCCUAACUUGUGUCUGAACACCAGGACCGUUAGACCGUUAGCUUCACUAGAGUAUUCGACAUUCAGAACACGGGAGAAGCUCACUACAUCUUGAGUCCCGAUGCCACGCGUACGACCUUGGAGCCGCAUAACAUCUGCACUAGAAUGGCAGAGAAUGUAUACAAAGUUCCCGCUAGGACACACCGCGAUCCUACAGCCGUUGUGAGGACCCAGAAAAUGUUGGACAGCUGCAGCCGUGGUCCACCGCUGAUUGGGAGUACACCAGUUCCCAUAGGCACAAACCAGGCGCUCCUGUUGUCCAGGAACAAUGCCUAGCUGCCAGAUUAAGGCACAGCUGAUCCUCGCGUUUGUCAUUACAAAAGCAUCUGAUUCAAAUAUACAAAUUAAUAAGAACAACAUAUAUAAAUGACAAAUACGUAUGAAGAAAAAUACAAAUCAGAAUACAACAAUGAAAGAAUGAGAAAAGGGCACUGCUACUUAUAGUACAGCUAUAUACUAUAAAGAUUUGAAGAGAGACGUUGCUGGAUGGUAGCUAGUAUAGAGAUGGAGGAGUGCAACAACCUAGAUAAUAUGGAAGAGACUGUUUAGUUUUUUUUUCAGAUUUUUCUUUAGUUAACCGUUUGGUUCGUUGUUAGGUAUUUGGCCCAGAUUUUCUUCUAAAAGUGGCAAAUUCUUUUCUUUUCUAGUGAAUUCAUGAGCUUCCUACCCUUUGAAAGGUUCUUCGAGGAAAGGAAAGCCGGUUUGGUGGUAAAAAAAUUGUAGAAAAGUUUAAUAUGAAAAAACCAAAAUGAACUCUAAUACUCCCUUCGUCCCAGAAUUAGAUUAGAUUUGUCCUAAAUUAAAUCUUUCUAACUUUGACUAUAAAUCGGUAAAAAUUUAUAAAUACUAUGAAUGUAAAAAUGAUGUUAGUAGAAGCAUCGUGAAACCAAAUAUCACAACAGCAGGAGUAUUCAUAUCAGUACACAUAUUUAUAUAUAGUAUAUUUGAAGUUGUGAUAUUGUUUCGGUAAGAAAGUCAAUUUCUAAAUUUCCUGCAUUAAGUGUAUCAGGUAUUCUAAUUAAAAGAUUUUAUGAAAAUCCAGACUAUUUUGAAAAUAAACCUUGGGGCUGGGGCGCCAUAUGCCGUGCAAACUGUUGCGCCACGCAAAUUGGUUUGGAUUUGCUCCACCAGACAAGACCCUAAUGCCUGAGGGCCAAAUAAAAGCUAUGUAUCAUUAAUUUGCAAAACAAGUGAAAUAGAUUGUUUAGGAGGAGAUCAUACCGAAAAAGAUAAUCAAAUAUGAAAAAGAAACAAAUUAAAUGAACUCCAAUAUUGAUUAUUAGCAGAAAUUUUUAUAGUAUAUUUGAAUUUAGGAAGAGUCUGAAUUACUCCCUUCAAAUAUAGAGGAAGUCUAGAUAACCCCUAAAGUAUGUUUUGGUUCAAUUUACCCCUUAAACUAUAUUAUUUGGUUCAACUUACCCCAUAAUAUAAUUUUUUCUCCAUAUACAAGUUGAAUUUUAAUUUGAGACUUUGCAAGGUGUUAGUGGACAUCAUAAUCAUAUUUAAAAUUAUUUUAUGAAGUUUUUAUCAUUAUUUUUUAUAUAAUUUUGUAUCUCAAGGAUAAAUUUUAUUAUUAAAUAUUCUAAUCUAUCAAAUAAUGAUAAAAAGUUCAUCACAUAUUUUUUCUAACAUGUCUUAUGAUGCCUGCUAUCAUCUUGCAAAAUUUGAACCUAAGACUCCACUUGUGCAUGGAGAAAAAAUAUAAAUUAUGUUAAGGGGUAAAUUGAACCAAAUGGCAUAAUUUAGACGGUAAACUGAACCAAAAAUACUUUAGUGGGUUAUCCAGAUUGUAAUUAUACUUGAGGGGAGUAAUUUGGACUUUUUUCUUGAAUUUAUGAUGUCGUUUCAGAAAUAGUUUCUAAAUGUCCUGCUUUAACAACUAUAUCAGGUCUUGUACUUGAAAAGACUUUCUGAAAGUCCAAACAAAUUUAUUUUGAAAAUAACCUGCAGGUUGAUAAGUGGGCGACAACUGUGUUGUGGUUUUGUGCCGAAUGCUCUGAACCCAUGCGCCCCGGAAUGGAUUUGCUCCCUGGGCAUGGUUGUCGCCUGGGGCAGCAGGGCUCCAGCCACCAGGCAUGUCCCUAAUGCAUGUGGCCCAAUUAAAAGCUAGUACUGCGUAUGAUCAUUAAUUUGCAAAACAAGGUCAGACAAAUUAAAUAAACGAAUUAGCAGCAGGAGCCAGGAGUUCGGCGGGCACCAUUAUUGUUUGGCGAUGUGUUGGGCUGCUGGGCUGUCGCUCGAACGGCGCCAUCCACCAGGUCGCUCCAUGUCCUGUCAAUAUGGGGCGAGCAACCUGCUGUGCCAUGUUACUCCAAGAGCCUGCAGGUACCUGCGGUUCUCGUGGUGUCUGAAGCACAAGAUGUGUCGGUGCGCUGUGCAGCGUCAUUGAUGGCUUCCAUCCUGCUGGUCUCAGGGAGGCGGCGGCCAUGCUUCCGACGGAGGAGGCCCAGCUGCAUGCGGACGACCCAGAAGCAGAUGAGCGAGAGCCAGCGGCCAUGGGAGAUUGGGAGCUGCCUGCAGACUGUAGUAGGUCUGUGUAGAGGGAGGCAGCAAAUAAAGGCUACGAAAUGUCGACACAAGUUUGCUCUCGGUUUGCGUACACCUUCUUUUGUAGGCGUGUCGUUCAUCAGUUGCCAACUUUGUUGCUUAUAGGGAAGCCUUUCUUUAUCUCUGGUAGGAGUGUAGGACUAAUUCGUACUUAGCGUCAUUUUAUUGACUAACCAUUACACGGAGAUGUACGUAUGCUCUGGAAAUAACAUCCAUCAUACGCGAUGAUGCAUGACAUAUGGUAUUUUGGCAUACAUCUAUGUUACAUUAGAGCCACAAUAAAAUAUUGCUCACUUGUCAAUAAUUUUUUGGGGAUUUCUAUACUACACUCGAGUGAAAAUCAUCUCUCCCACCCUUGAAUUUUUUCUCUUCCACCUCUUCCCCUUCUUCUCCACCUCCGGCGAGGUCUGGCGAGCCUUUUAGUGUUCGGGGUUUCGGGGAUUCAGGUUACCUGUGUCCGGCGGACCUAGAAGAAGCUCUGCGGUGGUAGGGAAGCGGGCGGUGGUGGUGGUCGAGAUGGCGGUGAGGCGGGGCGGCGGGGGCGAGCUCCGGCGACAAGUUGGCGUGGGAGGGGUCGAGACGGCGGUGGCAUAUCUGGCGGCGAGAGCUGCCGGAGAUGGGCAAGGCGGCGGUGGGGGCGACCGGCGGAGGUGAGCUCCAACAACGGAAAAGAACGAUGGGGGACGGAGGGAUGAGGAUGGAGGGAGGGGCAGUGGAGGGAAGGCGGGCCUCGCCGAUGUCAGGGACGGCACCGGCGAGGCAACAGGGUGGAGGCAGCUGGCGGGAGGCGGAUGGGUCAAGAGGAUAAGGUAGCAGAGGGAUAUGGAAGAAGAUAAGAAAAGGAUUGGAUCCAUCGCAGCCAUCCAUCGUGGAUCCAACGGUUCAAAAAUCGAGUGUAGGAGGGAUCUUCUACACUUGAGUGCGGUGUAGACAGCCCCUAAUUUUUUGUGAGUCCAUGAUUGGUUGGGGCUUGGCGGUAUACAUGGUCAAAUGGGCUGGGCUAAACGGACAGCACAAGGCCCGGCCUGUAUUGGCUCGGCACCAGCACGACCUGGCCCGCCGUUACAUGAGCCCGUGCCAGCAUGGCCCGAGGUAGCAGGCCGGACCUGGGCCGAAGAGGCGGCACGUCGGGCAGCCCAUGGCACGGCCUGCAUAACGGUCAGCACGAUUGAGGCCCGUUAACUCCACCGCAUAUAACGCCCCCGGCCCCCGCGCACCAACCCUAAUCCCCUCCCUGGCUCCCUCCCUCUCCCCCGCAAUCGCCACUCGCCUCUGCCUGUCUGCCUCCUUCCCCUCCCUAGCUCCCUCCCUCACCGCCGGUCACCGCCAAUUCGCCACCGGUCAUCGGCGCUAUCCCGCCUCCGCCUGUCCUUGUCCACCUCCUUCCCCUUCUCAAUCUAGAUGUCGCCAGUCCACCACCGGUCAACGGCGUCGCACCACCGCCUCCGCCUGUCUGCCUCCUUCCUCUUCUCGAUCUAGAUCUUGGCGUGCUCGGCUGCUCUGGCAGCGCAGGUAAGAUCUCCUCCUCUAACCUCUUCUGCUCUUCUGCUAUCAUGUUCUUGAGAUCUCACAUCUUGUUCUUGUAGGUCGUUGGCCGAGCACGAUGCCAUCGUGCUCACGUGGGUGCAGCGCGUGCCGUUGAGGAGCCUGAGCCGCCGAGAAGGUGAGGAGGAGGGAGGUCGUCGGAGAUGGAUACUGAUACACCGACCUCCAAUGACUGCUAUUGACCUUGGUCAUCAGAAGAGGAUGUCCUCUAGGUUGGCUUGGCCGGUGGCAGCACUGCAGCUGCUAUCGACCUUGAUGCUGCCGGGCCUGUCGGCGCGCCCAAGGUGCCGACGCCACCGGUGAGCUCCGGCGGGAAGAGGGUCAGGAACUCCACCUCUAAGGUGUGGAACAACUUUGAGGAGCUCUUCACCAUGAGGAAUAGCAAGAAGGUCAGGUAUGGCGCUAAGUGCCGCUUCUAGUGGUACUGGCCAUUUGUGCCGGCACAUUCUUGCUUGCUGGAAGAGAAAAGAAACUAAUCGUAUGUCUCAAUCUAUGCUAAAGUUCAACCCUGAUGGUUCUAUCCAUCACUAGGAGUACUCUAAUGCUGUUGCUCGUACAUCACUGGGAGUUUAGUUUGGACAUAGAUGUUAGAUGGAACUCCACAUACCUCAUGCUCAAGCAUGUUGUGCCAUAUCAGAGUACUUUUUCUAUCUUUAUCAAAACUCAGUAUCCUUUGCGUGGUGAUGGCUUGCCACUGCUCACUGAUAACCACCGGUAUGUUGCUGAAAAGGUAUUGGAAUUCCUUGAACUCUUCUAUGAUUCAACAGUUGCUCUAUCUGGUGUUUAUUAUCCUACAUCUUCUCUAAUGCUACAUCAUAUUCUUGAUAUUGCUGGACAUUUCAAUGCAUAUGAGAAUGAUGACUUGCUUAGACAUGUUGUUGUUCCUAUGAAAGAUAAGUUUCUAAAAUACUGGAGGAAAAUACCUGUGCUAUAUGCCUUUGCUUUUAUAUUGGAUCCUAGAGCUAAGAUGAAAAGCUUUCAUAAUGUUCUUUGAUUGUUACCUAAUCUUACUGGUAUAGAUUACUCUAGAUACCCAACUGAUGUGCGUGGUAAGUUAACUAAGAUCUUUUCAAAAAAGGUAUGAAACCAAGUUUGGUGAAGUUCGCUUGCAUCGACCCCAACAGUCAGUAAGUACUAGUAUUGGUAAGAAGAAAAUGGCUUGGGGUAAAAAUUUUGGUGGUUCUGACAUGAGUAGCACUUCUGGUUCUGGUUCUAUUUGUUCUCCUUCUCAAUUGGGAAGGAGGACAAGUACUGGUGCACUAUUUGCAGCUGCUACAUCUCUUUCAGAGCUGUCAUCAUACCUAGACAGUGACUGCGUCGCCCAAUACGAUGAAGACUUCAACAUUCUCAAUUGGUGGCAUGAGCAUAAGCAUAAGCAAACUUAUCCCAUUCUUUCUAUACUUGCUAAAGAUGUGCUAACAGUACCUACUUCCACAAUAUCAUCAGAAUCCACUUUUAGUCUUGCUGGCAGGGUGCUUGAGGAGCGGCGAUGGCGGCUGACAUGUGACAUGGUGGAGGUGCUGUCUUGCUUGAAGGACUGGGAGCUAGCUGAUGCUCAAUUGCAGCACAACAUCAAGAAGGAGACCAAAGAUCUGGAGUUAGCUUUCGAGAACAUGUACCUUGAUCAUGAUGCUGCUGAUGAUGAUGGUUAAAGGCUAUGCUUUUAUCUUUUCUACUUAGUAUCGCACUAUUUGUGUAAUGAACAUUUGGACAUCUAAUCUUAAGACAUUAAGAACUCUCUAGAGCUGAGCUGUACUCUUUUUUCCUUUCUAGGGUUUCUCACGAGGUGUGAGUUUUACAUAGAAAGGUUUUUAAUGAGGCAGGCACACCAAACAACUCAAAUAAAAUUUGAUCUUUGAUCUCUAUGUCUCUAUGAGUUAUGAUUUUAAUAAUAUGUAUGUAUAUGUGCUGUGCAUUCCCUAUUUCCUUGUGAUCUUGGCAUUCCUUGUUAUUUUGGGCAUCUGUUGGAGGGUUUUUUGUUUGGCGGGCCGAUGGACGGCUUGACCUACCUAGCCUGUCGAGCUAUCGUGCCGCUCCAGCCCACAAAGGUAUAAAGAGGCCGGACCUGACCUGUAAGACUUCAUAGCGGGCGGUCCGAUCCAGCAUGACACUAUAGCCGAGCCGAUAUAGGCCGGGCUAGGUUGGGCUCAUGCCAGCCGCCCGUUUGACCAUGUAUACUUGGCGGUGCCACCGUCAGCUCUGCCCUUCGUCACAUCACAUCUGCACUCUGCUCCUCAGGCAGGCAGCAGCUGCCAGAGGUCUGCUUUGUCCGGUCAUCCUACUCAAAGUUACAUUUAUUAGUUCCUUUAGCAAUUGCUUUGACUCAUCGAGGCUAUUGAGAGACGCUAAACGCUUGGUUGUGGUUUUUCUUUUUGGCUCAAGCUGGUAGUUACCAUGUCGUUCAUCUUCUUUUGUAGGCGUGUUUGCCAACUUUGUUGCUUAUAAGAGUGUAGGACUAAUUCGUACUUAGCGUCAUUUUAUUGACUAACCAUUACACGGAGAUGUACGUAUGCUCUGGAAAUGGCGUCCAUCGUACGCGCGAUGAUGCAUGACACACGGUAUUUUGGCAUACAUCUGUAUUACAUUAGAGAUACAAUAAAAUAUUAGUCACUUGUCAAUAUUUUUUUUGAGGCGAACUCGAAUUGGUUUUUAUUAAUAUAUAAUAUAAUCUACCGACAAAAAAUAACAAGAUUUCAUUUUUUGUUAGAGUAAACUCAACAUGAGUUGCUCUCAAACAAAUGAAAUUGAGCAACCGUCCUGAUUCAAAGAAACAGUUCUCCAUGACCUGCAUAGUGGACUUUCUUCCGGAGGUAGAUAGGCCAUUUAACUUUUUUGCCACUGUCGUUACGGAUAGGCCCAGCUGAGUAGACAUUUUGCAUGGCAUUCACUUGGUAAGGAUCGCAAAAUUUUUGUUAUGCCUAUGUGACGGCAUAACCGCGUAAGGGUUACUAAGAUAAAAUUAAAUCAUGUUGGUACAAGUACAACAAGUCACACAACUGGGUUAUUAUUGGAAAACUUUGUGAAAUCAAAUGGGCAAGGUGGCUUAUUUGUGGGUGAUUCCUACCGAAUCAGAUAAGACACUCUGAGAACGUCAAGAUGUACUUCCUUAUCUGGGAGAUUUCGACCUAACAAACAGAAAGCACUCCAUGCAUCGUCAUGGUGGCACCUAGGCCAACCAGUCAGCAGGUAUGCUUGCACUGCAACAUAAAGGCCCGGCCAGCACAGUUGGCCUAUCGAGUGGCCCUAGGCGUUGGGCUGGCUCAGCUCUGCCCCUGAUCACGUCUGCACUCUGCUCAGGCAGGCAGCCGCUGCCACCUGCCAGAGGUCUGCUUGGUCCAGUCAUCCUACUCAAAAGUUACAUUUAGUUCCUUUAGCAAUUGCUUUGACUCGGCGAGACUAUUGUGAGAUGCUAAACGCUUGGUUGUGGGGUUUUAUUUUUUAUUUUUGGCUCAAGCUGGUGGUUACCAAUUACCAUGUGUUCGGAUCUUCUACCUGCGUGUCAUCACCUUUUAAUUGGUUGACUAGUUCACAUGCAACAGCAUUCUUUAUCAUUUGAUUGAUGUGUGUAACUGAAUUACGCAUGCCAUUUGAUCCCUGUGCAUGCAGUUGUAUCAUUCAUGUUUCUUUUACCCUCUUUGCUUGUUCAACAGCUUAAUAAUGGAAAAUUAAUCUUGUCCUGCAGUUGAAUUAUGUUACACAUACCACCCGCUUGCAAUUUCUUAUAUCAUAAUGUCAGUAAUUUGUUCAUAUGACCAUCAUAAAAAGCCUCAUACAGUGUCCAUGUUAUGGUCCCCUUUUCACAAUUCACAACAAAAUUAUUCCCAAACCAAUAUGACACAAGUUGGGAAAACUGAUUACUUGAAAGGCAUUGACAAAUUAGAAUGUCGUAGAAGUGCUACUACAAUGGCCUAUACAACUAUACAAGACUGUAAACUCUAGGGUGGCGAAAAGAAGACUCUGCUCUACUAGAGUAACUGUAACAUGAUUGCUCCAAGACAAGCCAUACAGGUAACAAACCCAAUUUCUGUAAUCAACGAAGCCAUAGGAGAUAAAUCAUAAGGCCAUGCUUUUCAGAUGCCACAACCUCUCACCAACUGUAGAAACAUGUCAUUUUCUCAGUUCUCCAAGUCCUGAAGACGUAGUAUAUUGGUAAGACAACAGUUUAACAUGGAAACAGGGAAUAACUGUGAACUCUUUCAUGUUAAAAAAACCUUACCAUCUCCAUUUUUUGAAAGAUGGGAAAGUUGCUUCGAUGCCAACUACGGCACAAUCAAAAUCCUGUCCUCCCUGAAUGCUGCUAGCUUCAAUCUGAUGCUGCCUUCCAUAUUCAGUUAUGGACUUCUAGUACUCCAUAUCAAACAAAUGCAGAAAUAUAUGGAGCUCAUGUUACCUUCUCUCUCAAUGCAUCUGUUAUGAACAAGCUAAAAUGGGUCAUCCAGGAAAACAUGAUGCAAAACAUGCAGUGCUCCCUUAGUCAAUGGAGAAAUGGAAACAGAAAAGAAAAUAGUGAUGAACAUAUAGAGUAAGCAUUACUUGUGAACGGAUCUACAGAAGUUACUUUAAUUCAGCAUACAUGUAUGUUACACUUGCACCAAAAGAGAUUUUCGACUAUCAUGUAAAAUAAAACAAAAUCAAAAGGUAUGACAAACAGCAGGGUAAGGUAAAACAACUACACUUAAAAUCCAGUGGUUCAAGUUCAAACAUUUACAAACAUCAAAGGAGCAUAUCAGACAAUUGAAGAUUCAAAGGAACAAAAACGGAGCCAAACAUCCAAUCAAUUGCAAUGGUACUUCGAGACUUUGGAAAUCAAAUAUCUCGUUUUUUAUAUCUCAAUCUAGUUUGUCAAAAGAGUCAUUUGCUAAAUAAAUGUAUAACUGUUUUUUCCUUUGAUAUAUGGAUUAAUUGAAGUAGUGGCAUGUUGCAGUUUAUUUCCUCCCAUUCUUUUUACAUCAGUAUAUUAUAGCAUACUAUAAUACUAAGUUGAUUCAAAAUAGUUUUUAUAAAAAUUAUCAGUUUCCAUAAAACAUGAAUUAAGAAUAUGAAAACUAUUAAUCCGUGAAAAUACAAAGGUUUAAGAAGAAGAUCAAUAAUUUAACCAUGGCAACUUUGCAGGCAUGAACAAUGAUUAUAUUUUGCAGCAGCUUAGUUUGAGAAAUUUCAAAAGAUGAGAUGAACUGGAUUUGUAUCUUGCCUCCAAAGACCAAGCUGGACAUAUUGAACAUAAAUCAUAUAUGAAGAUAUUAUUACAUUAAACAACAAUAAAACACUUUUUAUGCAAACAAUAAUUAGAUUAGGAGGUGCCAUACUUAUUUUUUCUUGCAUGAGAGUAACAUAGUCCAUGCUGUUGUCUCUCCAGAUAUAUGGAAGUACACUUUGAUACAUAUAUAGUGUUGGAUGGACUCCAGCAUCUUCCAUCCAGUGCAAAACCUAUAUGGGCCAAACAAAGGAAAUAAUUAGAGAAGUGAUAAAGUUUGAGAAUUUUUAAAUUAUCAUCCAUCUUUUUCCCCUGUUUCAUACAUAUUUCCAAUAAAAUACUAACCAACCCCAAGCUUAAAAUGCUUAUGUUACAGUUUGCUGGAGGAAGAAUGUCAAAUUAAUAAUUCACAAUUCAAAAUUUUCCAACAGGACAUAAUGGAUGCAGGUUUCACCAUUCCCAACAACUAAGAGGUUGCAGAGUUCUCAUUCGGAAUAAAUAACACCAUCAUCUUAUCACAACUUAGCAAUUGUAAAUAGAAUCUAGCUAAUGUAGUUCUCUUAUCUUCUAAGGGAAUCUUUUUUUGAAGGACCCCUCAACUCUUAUUCAAAUGUGACAAUAUAGCUGCCCAGUAAUAUGUGCUGUAUACCUCAAUAUACUUUCUCCAUUUCCCAACAACUAAAAGGUUUCUCAACAGAACCGUAUAAGUAGACAGGCCCACAGUAGAGCGCGAAGUCACCAUCUUAUAAAACAGCUGCACGAUAGAAAAUCAUGACAAUAAGCUUAGUCUUAUCCUUCAAAGAGUUCAAGGGGAAGCAGCAACAGGAAAUGCACCAUCGACAGACAAAGCAUCACUACUGAAAUUGUUUUUUUCUCACAAAGUGUAUUGAUCAAGUCUGCAUGUUCCUCAAGUAUCAAAUAUAUUCACAAAAGAAAGUGGUGAUGACUCAAAACUAGUAAAGAUGGCAGUAGUAUUCUCAAUGCUAAAAUCAUUUUAUUUGGUUGAGAACAGCAAAUAGGUGAUGCAUGGAGCUAUAUCUUGCUGUCGCACAUUGGUGCUAUUAAGAAACCACUACGGCAAAGGAAUUAACAUCACACAGAGGUAGUGAUUUCUCUGAAAUGAGGAAUCUCUCUAUCUGAAAUGCUCAUGUCAGUAUUAAAUUAUUCUCUGUUUGCAGGAAAAGAGUUCAAUUAUGCCAAUGCAAUUACUGCAUGUAUAGACUGAGUACUAAAAAAAAAUGACAACAAGGCAGUUAAAUCCACCACAUGUUGACGUUGGAAAUUAUAAAGAAGAGGUCACACGAUGGCGCCUACGUUACGGGGUCCAAUUAUACCUUCAUCAUGCUCUCUGUCUUGCCACAUUUUCCAAGAAAAUUCAAAAGAUGAUUUAGUGUGCCAACCGAAAUGGAUGAUAGUGAUGAAUCCAAAUGUUCGAUUAUUUCACUGGCUGUUUUCCAUUCCCGUAGCCUGUUGCAGAGCAGCAAAAAUCUCAUUAGUUAAACUAGCAGCACUAGUAACCUCUCAAAAGAAAUAGAACAGAUAAAAUAGAAUAUCAAACUACUCACUGCAUCAAACAUGCAUGAAAACAAGAUAAAAACAUGACAUGAUCUAGAUGAUAAUAGCAAAAGGUGCAUACUGCAGAGGCCCGCUUUAUAAAACAACAAAUGCUCAACAAGUAAAAAGAAAGGAUGUAACUGAAUUACUGAACUAGCAUUUGAACAGAGUAGGCAAACGGACAGACCCGGUAGCCUCAAACAUCAUUUUCUCAAUUUCAAAAUUUGAUCGAACAGAAAUAAGAGAUAUCUCACCCACCACAACAUUAUAUCCUGCUAUCUCAAUAAAUAUACAACUUUAUUUCUAUUUAUACUUAUUAACUAUUUAUAUAUAUUUGGCGAGGUGACACUAAAACAACAAGCAGCUACAAGUGAGUAUCUCAAAUGGUAACGUAUUAAAUACAAAUGGUAAUUUAAAAGUUCACCUGCAUAAUACUACGUGCAUAACGAGGCAGAAAGUUACCCACACCUAAAUGUAUAGUACAAACAACCAACAUUGUGACACUACAGCAACGUAUAUAUGUAUUUAACAGUCAAAAUAAUAGCCGAGAGUGAAUACUAUUUCAACAAUAAUAAAUCUAGUUACAAUGCACGUGCAACUUAAGACAGUGGAUAAACAUACAUGCUGCAUGAAGCUAUUAUCUCAAAAUAAGCCUUUUGGUUCAAUGGAAUCUGUUUUUGCUUCAUGAAUUCCAUCAACUGAAGGACCAUUUCAGGUUGGCUUCCCUUAUUCAAUGUUUCCAUGAGGGAUGAACAUACAAUGGCAUCUGGCUGCACAUCAUUACUUUCCAUCUCUUUGAACAGGUCCCAUGCUCUCCUCCAGCUCCCUUAUGAUCCAUACAGACACAGGAUUAGUUGAAAACUUAAAGUUAUUGAAACAUUUCCUGAUCAUAAGAGAAUCUUACCAUCAUCCCUAUAGGCUUUAAUCAUAGCAGUAUAUGUCAAAACAUCAGGGAAGCAACCAGAUUCUUUCAUAGAACUAAAAGUAGAUUCUGCUUCAGUUAGUUUGCCCUGAAUCGAAAUCAUUGUUAGCGUACCAAUUCUUCACAGGGAACCAGAGAGAUAAUGUCAGCAACAGUUACCUGUUUGACAUAUGAACAAAUCACGGACGAGUAGACUUCCUUGGUCAAAUGAAUCUUCAGGUCCAUCAUGUCUUCAAAAAAUUUCAGAGAUUCUGCGUACCUUCCCAAUUUACAAGAUCCACUAAUGAGUAUAUUGUAAGUUACAGCAUCUGGCUUCACGUUGCUCGCCCUCAUUAAUGUGUACAACUCCAAAGCUUUCUCAUAAUCACCCAAACUUAAAUAGCUUCCAAUGCCUGAGUUGUAAGCAACUGUAUUUAGUUCGAUCCCUCGAGACUUAGCUGCUGCAAGAAUUGUGUCAAUUUUAGCUAGUUGUCUGCAGCGACCACAUGCUGUUAACAGGGUACUUAUUGAAACAACAUCCGGUUGAAUGCCAUCUCUCUCCAUUUCAUGCAGAAAACUAACAGCUUCCUUCAACAUUCCAGCAGAUCCAUAAGCAUCAAUAAGUGCAUUGUAACUGACUUUGUUUGGCUUGCAUGCAUUCUUCCUCAUUUCAUUAAAGACGUCCCUAGCCUUCUCAGGUUGAGCAGAUCUACCAUAAGCAUUAAGUAAGGAGCUGUAGGAAACUAUAUCAGGUCUCAACCCGUUUUGCUUCAGUAAUUUAAAAGUUUCCAAGGCCUCUUUGUGCGCACCAUGUGAGGCAUAAGCACCCAAAAGUGCAUUGUAGGAUACAAUAUUAGGCUUGACACCUUCAGCAAUCAUCAUAUCAAAAACAGCCUUGCAAUUUUCAGCUUGCCCGCAAACAGAAUAAGAAUACAUUAUGCUAGUAUAUGUAACAACAUCUGGAGGACAUAUUGUUCUUUUUUCCCUCAUUGAGUUAAACAACUCAAUAGCUUCCCCAUACUGCCCAACCUUUACAAGGCAAUGGAUCACAAUAUUCAAAGUGAAUGUAUCAGGGGCAACAUUAGAUGAUUUCAUAAUUUCAAAGUAAGCUAUGGCUUUUGAAUACUGAGCUCCAUUCUUGAAAGCAGACAAGACAAUGUUGUGUGUGACCAAAUCUGGUCCUACGCCAUUUUCAGUCAUCUUCUUACAAAGUUCUAAAGCUUUCUUCCAGUUACCAGCAGCCCCACAUGCAUUUAUUACAUUAUUAUACGUAGUUCGAGUAGGAGGUAUCUGCAACAAAAAAGUAUCUCUUAAAGGAGAGAACUAAACCAGCCAUAAUGUAUAAUGACAGAUUAUUUCUACAAUGAUAUAUUCCAGGGGCCUCUAGAUGCUAGAUAUGUAGAAUAUCGUUACAAGCAGUAAUCUAGAUGGCCAUGCCUUCAUAGUUCAUAGUGAUCCUAGUGAUGUACUUACAGCAGCACGUUGCAUAUCUUCCAUAAUGUUGAUGGCCCAACGCCACUGGCCAGCUCGAGCAUGCGCAUGGAUCAAAGAGUUGUAUGUAUCAGCAUCAGGCUUGCACCUAUGGAUAUAUCAUUUAUGUAAAAAUGAAAAAGUCCAAGAGUGAACAGAUGAUGGAAAUGCUGCCAUCUCACCAAACUAGUGAAAAAAAAUAUACAUAAACAAAAGCUGCAUGUAAGUUAUAUUUUAAGCAAGAUAUCUUAUUGGUGAGACAUAAUAACAGUACAACAUCACGAAUUUUACGAAUGCCAACCAAUAUGCUAAAGCAGUAGAAGUCCUAUGACAGACUUGUUGUUCUUAGUUUAAACAAAAAGCCAUUCUAGGGCUGAUAUGACUAUGGCUUCUAGUGAGGGUGAAAGAAAACAAUAGGUCAAUAUUGCUUAAGGUGCUGAAAGUAUGACAUCUAGCACUCAUACCUCCAUUCUUGCAUCUCAAAGAAAAGGCCACGUGCCUGAUCAACCUGAUUGUGUCUAGCAUGUAACCUUAUCAUCAUGCCAUAAAUGUCAUUACGAGCACAAUAAUUCUCCUGGUUUUUCAUCCAGCGGAACACAUGUACGGCAUGUUUCAAGGAUCCAGAAAUUGUGAUUUCCUACAAGUGAUACAAACUGUGUGAGUGCAUUAUCACUGGCACAAGCUAACGUGUAAACGAAUUUAUGGAGAUUUUUGGUUUGUUACAAAAAUAAGAACCAUGACUUGCAAAUGCAGUAGCUACUAAGGGGUUCUACCACACACUCUCUAAUAGAACAAUAUUGGGAGCACAAAAAUGAUGGUGACAAUUGACUCUUGAGAGAAUAACUAGAUUUUCUGGACUGAUUGAGGACAAAAUAGCUUUGGACGCAUACUGAAAAUCAUGAACAAAGUUGCAGAUGACCAUCUGAGAAACCUAGGUACAAAUACUGCAAAGUAAUGGAACUGGCAUACACAAUUAUGAACUCCAUAGACAAACCAAAGAAUCAGCAGAGUUGCCUAUGCCACAUGGAAAUAGAUACAGCGCUAUUGUAGUUGAAUAUAUUAAUAUAAAGCACCAAAAGAUAGUUGACACCGAACAAAGAUAGUUAACCUACUCUGGUAAAUUAAUUAUCAUAUUAAUAACAAACCAAAGAAUCCGUCAUAGCAAUCAUAUGCCCAACCAUGAAGGACUCCGUACUGCCAAUAACUAGAACUCAACAUGAACUAACCUAAAUAAAAUACUGUAUUAUAAGGUCAAGCAACUUGGUUAAGUCGCGUCCUACUCCCCUCACAAUAAAUUAGUUGCAAAAAACUAAACGUUGGCCUGGGUGGGUCCAUCCAAGUCACUGAAUGUGGGCCGGGUGGCAGAUUUACAUGCCAAUCGUACCAAUUUAGUGGCAAAGAUCUAAUUUUGUUUUGCUCCCCUCGAGCCAUUCGAAUGCCACAGUACUAGCCAGUAGUAGCAUCCGCACAAGCAGUCAUUUCAUUAAACACGUAGCAGGUCGCAAGCACAGAGAGAACGGGGGCAUACGCGGAUGAGGAGCGGGAAAUUGCGGCGGGCGAAGCGGCCGGCCCAGCUGUUGAGCACGUCGUCGACGGCGCGCGCGUCGGUGCGGGGCAGCGCUAGCACGCGCGCGGCGGCCUCCGACACCUUCCAGUCCCGCUGCCACCGGGUGCCCUCCACGCGGAGGCGGUGCCGCGCGGGGAGCGACGCGGCGCCGACGCCAUCCACCUCGACGCGGGCCCUGCGGCGGCCGCGGUCGAGGUCGACGGACACGGCGGGCCGCCGCUCCGCCCACGGCGGCGGGCCGGGCGCGCGGGGCGGGGGCCGCCGAGGCCGCGCGCGGAAGACGCGCGGGGAGCCCGCGUCGGGGCUCGGCGGCGGAGGCGGGGCCGCGGGAGCGGAGGACAUCGGCGGCGCGGCGCGGGUUUACCGUUGUGGUUGCGGAUGCGCGGGGUUUUGGAUAGCGUGGGCGUUCUGGAGCUGGCGCCGCCACCAUCUCAGUUUCUGAGCCCUGAGCCUUUUUCCAUGUGAUUUGAUAAUUGUUAUUAAACCUCGGGCCGGGCCGGGCUUUUUGGAUGGGCUGAGAUGGAACGAGUUCAAAUAUCCAAACCAACCAGUUCAAGCAUGAAAAUAAAGUUAGUGAUUCAUUUUUCUGAAUAGUUACGUGUUCGCCAUGGUGGAGUCGGCCAGCACCUCUCCAUGUGUCGACGGUGCAAGCUCUGCUUCGACAUCUCAGGGGGCACAAUAAUUUUGUUUUCGACAAUCUUGUUCAGACUCCACAAUUUCAAGUAACCAACCAUUGCGUGAACUUUUGAUGCUCAUGUGAUCGUGUUCUCCCCCACUACUUUUCAAAGCUUUUUUAUUUCUAUUUCUAUUUCUUCCUUCCCUCUAAUCUGGUCUCUACAUGUACUGUUGUAUCAUAUGUCGCUUUAAAGUUUCAGACUUACAAAAUCUAUGCAUAUGCAUGUGUUUUUUCGAAUAAAAUAAGAUGUUUCUUCCAUUAACCUCCAACAUUUUUCUUGUUGCGCUAGGAUUUUCUAGUGCAAGAUUUGAUUAAGGAUUUAAGAUUGAAUAUGGUAGGCUCAUUUAUGAAUUCUGAAUGAAGGACAUCUGAAGUUUUAAUACAAUGGCAGAUAACUUUCUCACAAAUAGUAGACGUUGUCUUUUUCCAUGAGCAUUGUUAGGGAGGUGCCAAUGAUUUUUUUUCGUCUAGUAGAGUAGCGAGAGCAUAGUAGAAGUACAAAAAAAAAUUCUCAUCUAGGGGGUAUUUAGAACUUUAGCACCCCUAUUUUAGUUCAUUUUAAUCACAAGUGCUCCCAAACAGGUGUGCUAAAACUCAAGUGCUUAAAUUUAGCACCCCCAUAAUCCUUUAGUCACUUGGGGGUAGCUAAAACUGACUAAACUUGGUCCCCCUAGACCAAUUCCCCCCUUGCCCCCUCCCCUCUCUCCUCCCCGCCAGACCCCGCCGCCAUCCUUCUCCGCCCGCCACCUUGCCGCCUCUGGCCGACCCCGCCGAUCCCACCGCCUCCUCCCCUCACUCUCUCUCUCUCUCCCCGCGAGGGGCACCACGACGCCUCGCCUCCACGGGCCCCGCCGUCGUGCCCGCCUCCGCCCGACCCCGCCUCGCCAUCGCCCCGCGGCCCGAGAUCGGCGACAAGGCCGUCCAGCCGCCAUUAAUUCUACCUCCUACUCGCCGCUGUGCACCACGGCGGCGGUCUUGUCCAGCACGGUGCUGGUCGACGUCGUCCGCAUCGCGCCCCGCGGCCCGUGCCGGUGCCGGUGGCGAGGACGGGGAGCAGCAGUAGGGGCCCCGAGGCCGGCGUGUUGGAGAAGACGUCUGGCGUGUCAUCGUCAUCGGGCGAGGGCGGCGGCAACGCCUUCCCGUGGAGCAAGAACGGCAGCAACCUGCUCCAGUGGCCCGUCGAGGAGGUUGAGACGCUGCGCCAAGGGCCUCAACGGCGGCGUCACCAUGCACUUCUACCAGGACGAGUCACGGUCCUCCAACGCCAACGACAUCGUCAAGCGCAUCGUCGGCAGCACCCUCCCCGUGCUUGACGGCGAGACCCUCUCGCUACGGGUGCUUGUUGACCACUCCAUCGUCGAGAGCUUCGCACAGGGUGGGAGGUCCACGGCCACCUACCGGGCUUCCGACGUGGCAAGACGACGCGAGAAGGACCGCGAUGCGGAAAAGAAGAGAAGAGGAGGCUUGCAGGAAGGAAUGGAGGGGGAGGGGCAUCGGUGGAGGGGUAGAGUAGUCAUUUUGUGCAACAGGUGCUAAAUUUUAGCUCUUCAUCCAAACACCCCAAAAGGUUGAAAUUUAGCACUUUAUUUGAGGGGGCUAAAAUUUAGUCCAUGCGAUCUCCUCCCAAACAGGGUUCUUAGGCUGUUCGCACCGGGAACCGCUAAACGAUCCUCCAGUACCGCGGCAGCGGAAAAAACCCCGCACCGUGGUAUUGGGAGGCCUCCGGUACGCCAACGGACGACCGACGGUCCGCUACUUCUAGCGGACGCCCAAGGCACCCGCUACCCGCCUCCCAAGACCGCUAGCCCCAACGGGCACCCCCCUCGCGCCUCCGCUCGGACUCGUCGCCACCGCUGGACCCCUGUCGGACCGCCGCUGCCACUGGACCACCGCCGGUGGAUCUGUCGCCGCUGGAUCCGUCGGGAAGGAGGAGGGGGUAGUGGCAAGGAAGGAGGAGGAGGCAGCGUCGGUGAGGAAGAAGGAGGGGGUGGCGUCGGGAGAAAGGAGGAGGGGGCCGGGGAGGAGAACGGGGCCGAUGGAGAGGAAGAGCCAGCGGGUGAGGCGGCGGCGGCAAGGAAGGAGGAGGGGGCGGCGUCGGCGAGGAAGAAGGAGGGGGCAGCGUCGGCGAGGAGGACGGGCUGGGAAGGAGAACGGAGCCGGCGGGGAGGCGGCGGUGGCGAGGAAGGAGGAGGGGGCGGCGUCAGCGAGGAAGGAGGAACGGGUGCCGUCGGGGAGGAGGACGGGGUCGGGGAGGAGAACGGGGCCGGCGGGGAGGCGGCAGUGGCGGGGAAGGAGGAGGGGGCGGCAUCGGGAGGAAGGAGGAGGGGGCGGCGUCGGCGAGGAAGGAGGAACGGGCGCCGUCGGGAAGGAGGACGGGGUCGGGGAGGAGAACGGGGCUGGCGGGGAGGAAGCAGCAGCGAGGAAGGAGGAGGGGGUGGCGUCGGGAGGAAGGAGGAGGGAGCGCCGUCGGGGAGGAGGAGGAGGGGGAGGGGGUGGUAGGGAGAAGGAGGAGGAAGGAGCCGGUGGGAGAGAGAAAGAGGGAGGAAUGGGAGGGGGCGGUGGGGAGAACGAGGCAUCGGUAGGAGAGGGAGGGAACGGUUGGGGAGAGAGAGGGGAGGGGAAUAAAAUAUGGGGUAGUUGGUAUAGAGUAUGAAAUAUUGAGUAACAUGGGUGCGGGAGAAAUUGGUAUAGGGAGAAUCUUGAUGACUAGGAUAAAAUAUUCUAUUUAGAUGAUGAAAAUAAAGUAUGACGAGUGUGGACAAUAACUGCAGAAGUGAGAGCAUAGUUGAAGUACAUGUCCUUUUAACGGGCUGGCACGGUGGCACCCAACGGAACGGGCCGGGGCUUUCUCGUCUGGUACGGAGCCAGCUGUACCCAACAAAGGCAACAAAUCUUCUCCCGUUUCGUUUCCCCUCCCAUCCUCUCCCCGGCGGCGCCGCGGCGGCGACGAAAGAGCGCGCGCCCCCUCUUCCUUCCCGUCUCCCCGGCCCUUUCGCCGCCCCCCAUCGAGCGCCGUCCGCGGACCGAGGGUGCCUCCGCGCCUAGUUCAGCCGGCGCGGAACGCGCCGCCUGCUCGCCCCACCGCGAAGGGGUUCGUCUCUCGCGGCGGCCGCCACCGCCGUCGUCCUACUCCUCGGCGCUCGUGGACGGGCGCGGGGAGGGGAUCCGUCCGGGCUUGGAUCGGCUUCUUCCCCACCUGGUAAGGAAACCCUAGCCACCUUGCUUGGUUGCUUGGGCGGAUUGCGCGCGCCCUGUUCCGCGGGAUCUUCCCUGUGCUGCGCGACCCGCGAGGGAUCAAAUCCGAGAGUUUUCCUGCUCCAGUUCGCACAAUUCGUUGCGAAUUCCUUUUCUGCGAGGAGGGGGUACGGGUAGAAGCUGUCAAAGUUUGCGAAUAAGUUGAAUUUUGCUUUGGGGGUUCAGUUCGAUCCCCACGGCUACACGUUAUGCCAGCCCCAUGUUUGGGAGGAGGUCGGGUCUAAAGCUGCCUGCUUUUUCUCUGCCGUGCUGGAUGUUACAAAUUGUUCUUGCGCUGCAGCAUUAUCUGAUAGACUUGCUCUAUGUGCUCGGAUGUUACUACUAGUUAGGUGCAUUUUAGGAAGGCUGAAAGGAUAAAGUUAUACUUCACCGCAAAAUAUGCACCAAUAAAUUCUAGUUCUUCAGUGUAGCGUGCACAAUUGUCCGUACCUGUUGAUCUGUUUUGUAGAAAAUUACUUAUUAAUUCAUCCACCCGGCAUCCACCCAAUCAUUGGUUGAUUAAAACUAUUGUUUCACACCCAUGUUUGGGAGGAGGUUGGGCAAAGCUGCGGGCUUGUUCACAAAUUGUUCUUGUGCUGCAGCAUUAUCUGAUAUCUAUGGACUUGCUCUGUGGAUUAACUGGAUCCCAUGUAUUUUUGGAUCAUUUAUUCAUUUGUAAAGCCAUAUUUGUGGUGUUUUCAAUAGUACAUAGCUAACACAGCUUACACUGAGCAAUAUCCUGCACUGUUCUGUUCCUUUGCAACCACUGUUGCCUUUCAUGCUCCAGAUCCAUGCAUCAACUUUGCCACAUCAUUCUGGUGUCUUUCUGCUUUCCUGGGUUCACCUGACAACUUAGUUUGAGUGAGACUGUUUGAAUCUUACAACUUAGUUUGAUCAAACACUAGUAAUAGAUUUGUUUUAUUGCCGAAGACGCAUUGCCCAUACGCCCAAGCAAAAUAAUGUAGAUCAAUUAUACGAUUGAAAUAUAGAAAGUUAGGUCCUUUGGGUUUUUCUUUACUCUAAAGAACUUUCCUGUUUCAUCAUAAGUAUAACUCUGGAGCAAUAUGCCAAUAACUUAUUUGCUUAUUGCCUUUGAUGUUAUCUUAUUUUUCUAUCUACUCAAUAUUUCAUUUCUGGACAGUCAGUUGUUGAACUUGGAGUUAGACAAUGGAUCUGGAGACAGAGAAUCGUCUUGCCUCUUUACUACUUGAAGAGGCACGUAGAUUACAGGCUGAGGCUGACAGGGAAGGUGUUCAUGCAUAUCUGCGAAAGCCUAAUGUAAGGCAUCGCCCAAACUCACGGUUCCUCACAGCCACAGUUCGUGGAGUUCAGCAAGGUUAGGAUUGUGCUCCUUUGAAUUGCCCUGGUGUUAGUUUCUUGAAUGAUGAACCUGCAUCAAAUCUUUUGUGCAUCUGAAUUGAAAUACGCUGUUGUCCUGCAGCAAACCGUGUUGUGGAGGUCAAUGAAAUGUGGCAUGCUAGGGAAAAGGAACUGGAGUUGGAGUCAAAGAUGAAAGGCAGAAGUAAAGAUCGUGAUGAUUAUAGAGGCGAGAAGCGGAAAAGUGAAUUGAGAAACCAUAGCUCUAGCUCAAGGGUUCAACAAGAAGGGACUACUUAUAACAUUUCUUACUCAGACCAGGAGGAUGGUCUCAGGGAUGAUGAAAUUGAAAGAUUUCUUCAUUCUAGGUCAGUUUGAAUAUUCAUUAUUUUCUUUAAUGCCAUAAAUAUCCAUUAUUUUUUUAUGUAACACCUGCAUAUAACAAUAUUAUUUUACUCGUGAUCUUAUAUGAAUAACCACACAAUCUGUGUACACCUUCAAUAGUACUCCCUUUGUCCGUCAAUCUAAGGUGUUUUUUGUUUUGAAAAAGUUAAACUUUUGUAGAUUUUGGCCAACAACUUAGUUAGAUUAUAUGUAUGUUCGAAAUACUACAUUUGUAUCAAUAGAUCAGUAUUCGAAAUACUUUUAGGAUGAUGUUGAUUUUGUAGCAAUUGACAAUAUAAUGUAAGAGAAAUCAAUGAUCGAAAUCUACUUUUAAAGACUUCCUUGAGUCCUCGUAAAAUACGCCUUACAUUGAUGGAUGGUGGGAGUACCACAUUAUCUAUGCGUGGUAAAGAAUAAAAAACCACAUUAUUCUAUUGAUGAUGGCUUGUAUCCUAUAAUGUGGUAUAUUUAAAUAUGCUGUUUACCGUUCUAUCUUUUACCUCUUUCCUUGUGUUUCCUAUCAGCAAUUUUGUUGGUAACAUGUGUAUUCUUGCUAUUUUGUUAGGGUGAAGCGAGGGCGUGGGGCCAUUGGUUCUCGGAUGGAUGAGCCUGGUCCAUACCUUGAUUCGUCGUCUCGUGGUCAUGAUAUUGGACCUAGUGCUGAUAUACGUAUGGAAGAAAAAUGGGAACGUCGAGUACAAGGCCCAGAGAAGCCUUCAUUUUUGAGAUCCAAGUCUCCUGACGAUCAUUGGUGUAAGGAAAUGUUGGAUGGAAGGGGAUCGAGCUCUGAACCACAGAGCAAGAAGGAAAAGAAAAGGAAGUCUGGGAAAAAAGAGAAGCGAGAUAAAAAGAAAGAAAAGGAUGCGAAGAAGUCCAAGCAUCGCCAUCACAAAAGCCGAAGAAGGGAGUGAACGAGUGAUGUUCUGUUAGCGGGCAGAAAAAUGUACACAACAGUUCUGCCCCAAAAGUAACAGCUAGCUGAUAGUUUGCUGUAACUUGAAGCCUGUACUGUAUAGGAAACAUGACAUCGUGUAGAAUGGAUUACGUGUUCUUAUAAUACUGUGUUGUUGCGGUUUUAAUAUCUGAAAGAACUGUCUUGUUAUUUUUUCUUUUCCAUGUUGCAUGUUAACAUCUCCACAUUCGAAGCAAACUCUGAUUGUCAUUUCAAUUCACCCAUAACAGGGAAUUAGCAAUGUCAAAAGCACAAGCAAAUCGGUAAGAAAGACUGUCAACAAGGCAGUGUCUGGGCUGGAUUUAACAACCUCCUUUGCCUUCGUCUCCUUUCCUGUUUGCUUUGCCCACUCCCCAACUUCUUAGCAUUCCAUUCCACAAGAACUUUUUUGGGCAGGUAAGCAGUUUAAGAUUCAACACAGUUGCUGUUCAUUAUAACAGCUACUACGUAGUAUGAAUGCUUGACACAAGACAGAUGACCUUAGACUUCUCUUUUUUCUUCUGGUGUAGGUGCAUGAGAUGGUGAGGCUAAAGGAGGAGGAGGUUUGUGCAGAGCCAGUUUCUGAUAGACAUCCCGCAUCUCUGGCCUAAACUGAGGAGAAGUUUGCAGGCAAGCAAAUGCCACUUCCACAAGAACAGCAACUUCUUUCUUCUCCACAACUGUUGGUGUUAAUGGGCGCUUGUCCAACAUAUCCUCCAUCGCAAGCUCUUGAUGCUGUCCUGUGGCAGCAAGGGACUGCAGCUCCAUGGGGUAUCUCCCCAUAACAAUCUCCAGCACAACUACACCAAAGCUGUAGACAUCGCAUUUUGUUGUCACCACUGAUGUGUAAGAAAGCUCUGCAUCAAAAUAAAAAAUCUGAAUCAAUAAUAUAAUCAAACAUCAAACCAAACUGCAUUAUAUUUGAUAUUUUCAAAUGGUAACAAGAAUAUAUUUACUCUGUAGAAGAAACUAACUGAGCACAUACCGGGUGCUAUAUAACCAUAUGUUCCUGCUAGUUCACUCCAAUUGGAUGAAUCAGGCUUUAGCAUCCUUGCUAUUCCAAAAUCUGAAACAUAAGCAUUGAAAUCUGCAUCUAGCACGAUGUUGUUACUUGUUAUAUCACGAUGGAUUAUUGGUGGGUCGCAUUCAUGGUGCAAGUAGUAGAUAGCCUGAGCCACGUCCCUUGCAACAGCAACUCGCUUCUGCCAGUCCAAGUCCUUUGCAAGUUCCUCAUUUCCCAGGAUAACAUGAAGGUUUCCUCUCUCAAUGUAAUCAUACACUAGAAAUUUGUACCUUGGAUGGGAACAAAACCCAUACAUCUUGACGAUGCUUCUAUGCCGGAUCUUUGUCAACACUUUGAUUUCACUAAGAAAUCUUUUUUCAUCGCUCAUCGCCUCUUCAGUUUGGUGAAGCCUUUUCACUGCAACCAAUCUCCCCUCUUGAAGCUGAGCUUUGUAGACAGUGCCAUACCCUCCUGAGCCAACGAUGUACCUAUCACUGAAGUUUUCUGUUGCCCUACUAAUAUCCUCAAAUGCUAGUUUCCCGUCGAAGUUCCACACUGAAAGCACAUCUCUUGUAUCUGUGGCCGUAGUUUUUUGUGGUCUUUUCCUUUUGGGAAUAAUUAUAACUAUAAUAAAAAUUAUGAUGAUAACAGCUAUGCACACUGGGAUAGAAAUAGCUAGCACGAAGCUGUGAAUUCUUCUUUUGUGAUAUUCCACUAUUGGAGCUGGAGGGCAUGUUGGCAGGCCCGAGAUAUUACCACAGAGACCUUUGUUGUGGACGAACCAUGUUAUUGAGGCAUCAAGGAAUAGUCGUCCCUCUGGAACCGGUCCUUCCAAAUUGUUGUAUGACACAUCAAGUGUUGACAAACUAAUCAUUCUACCGAAGGAGGAUGGAAUGCUUCCAUUGAACUGAUUGUGUGAGAGGUUCAGGAACUCCAACAUUCCCAAGUUCCCGAGCUGUGCUGGUAGCUCACCUGUGAGCUUGUUGCUGCUUAGAUCCAAUACAAUCUGCAGGUUCUCCAGGUUACCAAUGGCCAAUGGCAAAUAUCCACUCAAGUUGUUGUGGUCAAUCAUCAAGCACUGUAGUUUAGUACAACUGCCAAGCUCUUCUGGUAUCGACCCGCUAAACUUAUUGUGAGAUAUAUCAAGGAACUGCAAAUUUCUCAUCCGACCAAGUUCAGAAGGUAUAUGACCAGAAAAUUGGUUACGUGAUAGGUUGAGCGAGUACAUGUUGCCUAGAUUGCCUAAUUCUGGUGGUAUGUUGCCAGUUAAGUUGUUUGUGUGUAGUGAAAGUGCCACCAGGUUUACCAGGUUUGAUAACUCCAGUGGCAAGCUCCCAGAAAUCAUGUUUUCAGAAAUAAUCAUCUUUGUUAAAUUGAUGCUUAAAGCCCAUGUUUUUGACAAUUGCCCACUGAGGUUGUUUCGUCUUAAGCCUACUUCAAUAAGAUGUGGGUAUGGCCCAAGAUUUGAUAUAUCUCCCAUCAGGUGGUUGAAAGACAGGCCAAGCUGCUUCAGGCUGUUGCAUGUUUGAAGGCUCUUAGGAAUGGUGCCCGUGAACAAGUUGUCACCAACGUUGAACCAUUGGAGUUUCCCUCCUUUGCAGAAACCAGAGGGCAACUCCCCCGUGAGAGAGUUAUUUGAUAGAUAGAGCGUAACUAAGUGUGUAAGAUUUGCUAAUUCCCGAGGCAGAGGACCUGACAGCAUGUUGCCAAAGAGUGUUAGCGUUGUGAUGCUUGUGAGGUUCGCAAGAGUUGCAGGAAUUGAACCUGAGAGCUGGUUCAAGGAUAGAUGCACCGUGUUGAUACCCACUAAAGUGCCAAGCUCUUCUGGGAUUGAGCCCACAAACUGGUUGUCAAAAAGGUCAAGGUUGAAUAGGUUAGUAAGGUUACCCAAGCUGGAAGGAACGGGGCCACUCAUUUGGUUCCCAAAUAAAACUAGAGUGCUCAGAUUGAGCAGCAACCCUAUCUCUUGGGGAAGGAAUCCACUGAUCUCAUUGUUAAGGAGAUAAACUGAGUUUAGCUCUGUGAGAUUCGCCAAGGAGACUGGGAUUCCACCACUCAAUCGGUUAUCCGAAAGGUCAAGCCAAAACAAGUUGAUGAGAUUGCCUACAGAAUAUGGUAUGAAACCUGAUAGAUGGUUGCUGCUAAGGAUCAACAUACUUAGUCUGGUCAAGUUCCCUAGGUUUUCUGGUAUUUGGCCAGUUAGCGAGUUGACACUGAGAUCAAGGUAGGAGAGUGCAUUCAGGGAGGUGACAGACGGUGGGAUUUCUCCAUGAAGGCUGUUGAAGCUGAGAUCGAUGUAUGUGAGGAAUGGGAGUGCUGAGAAGUUGAGCUCACCAAUCUGGCCAUUGAUGCUGGAGUUCUUCAGGGAGAUUCUGGUCACCACCAGCGAUUUGCGGUUGCCACGGUGCACCGUGCUGCACGCGAUGCCCGUCCAGUUGCUGCUGCAUGGGCUCAUUCCCUGCCGCCAUGAGUCCAGUGCCACCGAGCUUCGCAGGGUGGAUUUCCACUGAAAGAGAGCUUCUUCCUGGGAUCGCAGAGACACGCCUCCAUGAUGCGUCACCGCAUCAGCGUGCAGGUAGAGGCAACCUACCAGGAACAAGGUAAAAACUAGCGCUAGUGUGGGUUGCACCUUUGAGUGGAAAGUUUCCAUGAUUUCUUCUUUGUUUUCUAGGUACGUAGAACGAGAGAUGGUCGCUUUGUCGAAUUGGAAUUGGAGGCUAUACAUGGUGUGCUGCGCGUAUAUGUAGCGACAUCUGAUAACAGUGGCCUGGACAUGUAUAUUACACUGAAGGAAAAGCAAAGGACUUACAAGUAUUGAAUUCAUUCAAGUUGGCAUUUGGCUCCAUUCAACAGUGCAUACUAGUCGUUUCCUCUUGAACUGGAAGCUUCAUUUUUCCUUCACGCCAGCCAACUAAUAUAAAGUACUUCGAUUCUGACCUAAAUGCGCUGAAAUGUAUGAAAAAGCACUCAGGUCCCUAUCUUUCAUUGUGUGGACAGCCUAGCAUGCAUAGACUAUCCCUGCGGUCACGAAAGUGUCCUUGUUUUGAGAAAUAAUGCAGUUAAUAGAAAAAUGAAACUUUAGCCAUAUCGACAUCAUAUCUUUUUUCAAAAUUAGGAUUGGACAUGUGGAAACCAUUUGAGUGUAUAGAAUUUAUCUUGAAAAGCAAUUUUAUAAUUUUACGAUUUUAAUUUUACGUACGUAAAAAUUAAUUCCUCCCUUUACCACAAAUCUUGAUAGAGAAAGGAAGCAUAUAGAGAUUGAUCAACAAGAGCUAGAAGACUUCAAUAGUGCCGGGUCAAGCAUGCUUGACAGCGAUAACCUCAUUCCAAGUUAAUGCGGUAGCUGACAAGAAGACUUGACCACAUGGGAUAUAUCAAGUCAUUAUAAGCAUGCACGGGUGCUUUCAGUCCAACUUGUUUCCUAGUAGCAUGCUAGGUGGGGAAAUAAUAAUUGGACAAUCGAAAGACUCUGCUGCCUGCUUGAUGGACAACAACUGCUGGACUCUCAGUCUGCCGGUCGUCACAACAUGUACAGUCCAGCACAUCGAUCAGCACGGUCGGAUUACAGGGCCAUUCAUAAGCAAAAUUUCCAAUCAACAGCCUGAUAUUAUCAUGCAUUUUUUUUUGUUUUUAUGAAGUAGUAGAGCUCGCAAUCAUGGGUAUUUUUGUGCUAUCUCAGGUAGAACGAAGGAGAUUUGGUAUUGCAAUAACAACAACAUUUAUUGGUGUUUUGGACAAAUUACAUAGGCCGACAAAUCAUCACGGAAGUCGUUCCUAGUGGGAGCCCGAUCUCAGCUGCUGAAGCGACGUCAUUCUACUGACCGGGCAUGUUUUAACUUGCAACUGUUAUGCUUUGGAGUUCACACCGUGGUAAAAAAAAAAGGAAAAAAAAGUUGUAUUUUCACCCUCCAACUAUCAGCCUGAUUUCCAACCUACAGAAGGAGCAUCCAAUUAUCAAAAUCGGACAUAAAGGACCAUCCAAUUGGCAAAUUUUGCCCUUUUUAGUUUCAAGGGUGGUUCUGCAUUUCCUAGAAAUUUUAAAAUUUAGAUUUAAUUAAAACAUCAUAAUUAAUUCAUUUCAAAAUCAAAAAAAUAUGAAAUUGUUACUAAAUUUUUUUUCUAAAAACAUAGCCUGUGUGUUUGUACCCUAUUUGAAGUCGUUUACAUUUUAUUUGUUACUAUUCCUAGUAUUUUAUUUUAUUGAUCAUAAUAAAACACAAGGAACAUGAACAAAUAAGUUCAAAUAACACCAAAUAGGCCACCAACACAUAUGUUACAUUUUCAGAAAUUUUUUUGGCACAAAUUUGAUAUUUUUCCUGAUUUCAAAUGCAUUAGUUAUGAGUUUCUUUUAUUAAACCUAAACUUUUUCAAUUCAUAGGAUGGCCACCCAUAAAAUCACCCAAAGGGCUAAAGGGUCAAAUUUGUUCAGUUUUGAUAGUUGGAUGGUCAUCCAUGACCAGUUCUGUAGAUUGAAAAUCAGACUUUUGUGAUAGUUGGAGGGUGAAAAUAGAACUUUCUCUUAAAAAAUAAGACUUUGCCACACUGUGCACGUACGUGACACAAAGGUGCGAAAGAAUUGUUGAUAAAGAAAGAAAGCGGAUAGAUCAACUAGAAGACUAAUAAAGCAGUGCCGGAUCUAGCAUACAUGACAACAAUGUCCUUUGAUGUUAACACGGUGGCUGACAAGGAGACUUGACUAUUUUGAAACCAGAGUCAUUAUAUAGUCUGUGGCCAAAUCUCGCUCUCUCUGGUAGAAGCACUGCAGCAGCAUUGGAUCAUGAUCAAGAAGAGGAGCUAGGGAUUUGGCUGGGUCGAUUUUGGGUCGGUUGUCAGUGGAACUGGGCUUUAGCAUGUGCUAAGUAGGCCCACCUCAUCAGUUCCCUGAGGUAAAAAAAAAAGAUGUUUCAAACCGGUGUCAUUUUGACGGAAAACUAGCAGCACGGGUAGAGAAGGGAUUGAAAAAUUCAAAUAGUAGCAUAUAAUGGAAGCGAAGGAUUUUUUUUUAGAGAGCAACGCUUAACGCCGACCUGAACAUUUGACUGAGACAGGCAAGUUUGGCAUACAAGAUUUGUGGAAAGGGUGGUACCAAAGAAAAGAUAUAAAGUGCUUCCACCAUAUAUGAAGUUGUAUCGUUAUUUCACUUUGGUAUAACAAGUUGCAAACAUUGCACCCACCAUACACUAAAUUGUCUAUUGCGUGCAUAUACAGUCCACUGUACACCAGUAGUGCGUAUUCUGCAGACAAGGCACAUUGACGAGGACAUGGAAGGGUCUAGGCGCUUUCUAGAAGAACGUGAGGGGCAAAAACACAAAAUCCACAUUCAGAUUGUAAGUGCACCGGCAAAACAAAAAAACUGCAGCAUAAAUUCCAUUUUCAUCAUAUUGUCGCUAAAGUAUUCGUGAGCUGAUACUACUAUGUAGAAUGCCAUGGCAUUUUGAGAGGACUCAAAUGUACAGCAUCCAAAGUGAGACAUAUUGAUAAGAAAUAUGAAAAAUUUAGUACGUCUUGCAUUGUCAAAUGUAGUGACAUUCACAACACCAAAUAUAGUCCUAAAAUAAAGUGAUUUUUUGUUUCUCCUUUCUUUAUUUAUAAAGUGAUUUUUUGUUUCUCCUUUCUUUAUUUUAUUUAAGAUUGCUGGAUCCUAUACUGGUUUUAUACGGAACCUGGAAAAGGUAUUAUCUUCCCAAGACCAUACCUAUUCCCUAUCCCAAAUGUUAUGCCUCCACCUCAGUAUACGAUGCAGUAAAAAUUUCGUAGGCGCCAUUUUCAACCGUAUGUCACUAUAUUCCGCAAGUUAAUGUAUGGUAUUGUCAUAUUUGCAAUUUGUUGGAUCAAAAUGAAACAACGAUGCAACUUCAUGUACGGUGAAUGCACUUUACUGAAAAAUCUAUUGCGUAUAUUACAUUUACAAUUGGAUCUCCUUCCCCCAAUUCCAAGGAUAUAGCUUUACUGAGUCAAGGAGGAAGCACGGUGGAGCCCGCAAUGUUGAGUUUCCACUCGCCCGGAGGUUUUCACCCUCGCGGUCGAUCAGCGUCACGACAAGCACAUGGCAGGUCCCACCAUUUCAUUCUCUUUCCACCUUCUGCAGUCCUCAACCGUAUGCAUAUGAUGGGCCCUGCAACCUUAUCUAAUCUUUUCCUCUCCCGUUCACUUUUCUUUUACCAGCUCUCUCUCCUCUCCUCAAGCCGAAUCAGUCGUCAGGCCCUGGAUUUCAAAAAGUUCUCUAAAUUUUUCUUCAAAAUUUUCCCCCAAAUGUUUUUCUAUGAACUUUUUGUCGUAUAAUUCUAUCUGGUCGCCCUUAAAUUCGACUGCCCCGGUGGAGCCAGAGCACUACCACCAGAUCAGAGGCAGCAAAGGGCAUGUAAGGGAAUGCUAUAGUUUUCUACUGCACAUAAAGAAUUUAUAAAAAAAAAUCAAAGGAAUUCACUAGUAGGUGACCACCAUGUAUGUUACUAUCAAAAUUCUCCAAGCGAAAAGAUCAGCUGCUGCCUGGAUUGCUUGCAACCACAUGGUCCACAUACACAUGUGGCGUAGUGCCUUCUCCGAUCCACUGGGCUGCUGCUAGCAAGCCUGCACACUGGCCGGCCGGGUGGUCAAAGUUGGCGUGCGUGGCUUGUCGGUCGUCACCCGUGGUCAUCUGGCACAGCUCCUGUGGUUCUCGUCACUCACCGCAGAAGCUUCGUCCAGUACGUGGAAGCUACUGAGACAAACAAACGCGCCUACUUAUCUGCCUGAGCUCUGUAUCGGUUGCCAUGGCGGCGACGGCGAGCAUAGGCGGCGGCAGAAGGCUGGCGUUGGCGGCCACGCUGCUCUGCGCCGCCGCGGCCAUGGCCGCGGCACAGAAGGCAUCCGGCGUGCGCGUCACCUACGAUUGGACGUCAUCUUACCGCCCGCAGGAGACCAACUGGGACCUCAAGAGCUCCAGCGUGUACUGCGCCACCGCCACAUUUGACGUCAUGCCACUGUCAUGGCGCAUGAAGUACGGUUGGACGUCCUUCUGCGGACACGUCGAACCCGGCGGGGACAUCUGAGGCGUGUUCUAAAUUUUGAUCUUUUUUAGGUGCACUGAUCGGUGUCCUGCACACAGUAAAUAAAAAAUAAAAGAUAUAUCCAUUCCAUGCUAUGCUGCAGGUGCUGGGACGGGUAAAAUCACAGUGAGGAUCGUGGACCGGUUGCUCCAACGGCGGCCUGGACCUGGAAUACGACACCUCGUUCAGCAAGAUCGACUCCGACGGCCAGGGCGUGAACAACGGCCACCUCACCGUAAGCUACCAGUUCGUCGACUGCCAUGAUGAUGAUUUGCCUCCGCCAGCGACGCCGGCCAUUGUGACACCAGCGCCGCAUGUUGUACCGCCGCCUAGCUAGGAACAUAAGGCUGCACAAUUUCAUUGUACGAUUAUCAAAACUGAGAAUCAGGUAAUUGUGCUAGCAGAGUGUUAUGGGGAUGAAACUUCUUUCACAUAUGAUAAAACUUUUCUCAUAAAUGAUCUUGCUAAAUCAGCAAAAUUACGAACGUGACAUGAAAUUUAAUAUCCAUUAAAAUUUUUAUGAAACUUCAUUGAAAAUGGCGUAACUACAUGCGUAUCAUUCGUACAUCCCCAGCUGCGUUUGUGUGAGCGUACUCGAAUACUUCCGGCGCCGCAAAUAUAAGAAUUUCUAGCAAUUCUAGGAUAACGCAAAAAAAAAAAGAGAAAGUCCAUUCUGCCCAUCAUUAAACAACAUGGAUAGACGGAUAAAAUAUUAAUGAAUUUUUAAUAACUAAAAGACCAGCUCGAGCUAUUCGAUUGCGCAUUGUGAGUCACAAGUCAAACGUUUUCACGCGAAAUAUGAAGGAUCUUCCUUUAUUAGCAUCCCACCUAUACUUCAUUACUAAUAGCACUAGCAGUUAGUUUAAGUACCCUUAUUUAAAACAUCGGUCAAUUAUCUACGCAUCUAAAUGACUACUUCCUCCAGCCCAAAUUAUAAGUCGUUUUGACUUUAUUAGAUUCAUAGACUUUAUUAUGCACUUAGAUAUACCCCAUAUCUAGAUGCAUGAUAAUAUCUAUGCAUCUAAAAAAGCCAAAACGAACUAUAAUUUGGAACGGAGGGAGUAUAAGAAAAUCAACUAAAAGUUGUGGUCCGAAUAGCCUCAUUGUUUAAUGUAAAGUUUGUCUCCAUCCCGAGCCUUAUAGAAAAAUUAUGAAUUUAUCAAAUAAGUUAAAAAUCAAAAUACAAAUGCAUCAUGCCAGCUCAAAGUGCCAACAUGGAGAGAUACAGAUAGUAACUGAGGUAUCGAUGCUUGUGGAUAACACUAGUAGAACUUAUGUGCUACUAACUCGACUUAUCAGUAUCUGUUCAAAUUUUAACCGACAUGCCACACCUCACACAGUCAGAUUGCUUAAUGAAGUCCUCAUGAGAAGCUGGCCAUCCACAAUAAUUUUUUGUAAUUACAUUAUUCAUAUCAACAUACCCUAAUAAUAUAUGUGAAAUUUUUGUUUAUAUAUCAUUUUGGGGGCAUACAGGCAUAGUUUUGAUCACCGCCUUGGUUGUUCCACUACUUGUAUCCUUUUUGUGCUUGGUAUUUUAUCUUCGAUUCAGAAAUCACCAAAAAGGUCAGCUAUCUAUAUGCAACAACUACUCUAGUCUGUUUGGUAGAUCUCCAUCUGAUUCUGAUUUUCUAUGGGAGCUGAUUCUCCGAGAGAAGUGAUUCUGCGGCUGAAAGUGAUUCUCUUUGAUUCUCUAACGUAAACUCUUAAAAUCAGGAUAGAGAAUCACUUCACAGAAUCAAGAGAAGCUACUUUUUUCAGCUCCUAACCUCUUAGUUCAUUUUAGAGAAUCACUUCUCUCUGAAAAACUGUUUAGCAGAUCUUCUGCUAGAUUCAGCAGAGAAUCAGCUCUAUGUGCUCUACCAAACGCACCCUGAAUACUCACCUCUAUCAAGAGUUCGAGACAUUAGGCUUUAACUUUUAAGAUGCUAUAUGCUUGAAUGUAGGUAAAGGUACAAAGGACAAGACAAAGAUUAACGUUCAGGACAAUGAAGCACCGGUUUGGGGAAUAGAAGGAAGAAGUACAGAAUUCACGAUUAUGAAUUUUCGCAAAUAUUACAGGCUACGUGUAACUUUUCAGAAGAAAACAAACUUGGACAAGGAGGUUUUGGUCCAGUCUACAAGGUAAGAUAAAGAUAACGCACUUGGACAGCCAUAAAUAAAUAAAGAUAAAGUUUGGGCUGGAGGGAGUUUUUCCCAAUGAUUGCAAGUCAGCAAGUGUAAGAUGUUUCUUGUGAAGUUAAAAAAAUCUUACUAGAAGUUGCAUUCUGGAAAUCCCUUAGAUGUCAUGAAAGUAACUAUUUUUUUCUAAUUUUCUUUGUUAGAAGAUAACUGAAAUCAAUUGAAUAGCAAACGAUUAGUACUAAUCAAAACCUCAGUUGAAUUCCUCUCUAGGGUCAAUUUCCAGAUGGGUUGGAGAUAGCAGUUAAGAGGCUUGCUCCACAUUCAGGGCAAGGUUUCACAGAAUUCAAAAGUGAAAUCCAGCUCGUAGCCAAGCUCCAACACACAAAUCUGGUCAGGCUUUUGAGAUUCUGCUCCCAGGGAGAGGAGAAAAUACUCAUCUAUGAAUAUUUGCCAAAUAAAAGCUUGGACUUCUUUAUUUUUGGUACCACUUUUAACGCAAAAACAGGGUACAGGUUCAGGGUUCCAAAGAUGAUUUCUCUAAUAUAUCUACAUUUAAAUGCUUUGUAGAUGAAACAAGGAGAGCUUUAUUAGAUUGGCCUAAACGCUUAGUGAUAAUAGAAGGAACAGCACAAGUACUCCUGUAUUUGCAUAAGCACUCUCGAAUCCAAAGAGAUCUUAAAGCAAGCAACAUUCUCUUGGACAAUGAAAUGAACCCUAAAAUUUCAGAUUUUGGGCUCGCUAAAACAUUUAGCACAAAUGAUUCUGAAGGAAACACAAGAAGGAUUGCCGGAACAUAGUAAGAUUUUCUUAUGAUCUAGGCCAUUACAAAACAUAAAAAUACAACAAUCUGACCAAGAAAUUUGCUUUACACAUUCGUUCAGUGGCUAUAUGUCUCCUGAGUACAUUUCAGAGGGCAUCUCUGUUGGAAUUAUAGGCAUUUUACGAUUUAUUUUAAUCCGAAAUAUAAAAUAAAACAUGACACAAACAAUAGUAUAAGUAGGAGCAUGAACAUUUGUGUUUAUAACAAUGAACAUAAAGCAUGCAAUGGAAAUAACAGAAAACAAGUAAUGAACAAAAAGUUCAUGAGAAAGUACCCUACAGCGGGGCUAGUGCUGUGGCACCAGAUGCGUUGUUAGUCGACAUUUCGAGCCUAUUUGGUGUAGUCGAUCAAAGUCGAUGCCGUGCAGAUGUUCGCCGUGCAGUUGCCCCUCCAGGAAGAAGAGGUGCGCAGCGAGCAGUCGCGCAGAUGCGGCCCCUAAAACUUGAUCGCCCUUAUACUCCUCGGGUGCAGAGUCUCAGGGAAGGGUGCAGUUUCAAAGAGCUGCUCUUCCGGUGUGUUAUGUGCACACAGAACGUCGGAACGGGGACAACAAAAAGAUAGCACAGCAGUAGCUGAAAGUUCGGUGGUUGGUAUGUUGAGGACAACCAGACAUCUUUAUUCCCAAAGCCGGGUUCAAUAAUUUCUAAGAAAAUCGCCAGAACGCAUGCAUCUCGUACCCCUUAUUAUUCGGCUCUCACAAUUCACACAACGGCAACAUUUAUUCAUUCGAUCAAGCUAAGCACCGCAUCACAGAGCAUGCACUGCAUUACUGCGGCAGUAGUCUAACCGCUCGUUGUUCCUUCGGCGCCGAGCGCGUAGCAGAAGGGCCUGCCGUGGAUGGUCACCAGGUUGCACUCCGCCUCCGACACGAGCGUCGCGGCGAGGUCGAGCUGCGCGGCCCAGGAGCACGACGGCGACGCCGCCACGCCGCCGGCGGCUGGCAUGCCGUCCAUCAUUAUUCUCAGCGCGCCGCACCGGCAGUAGGGCACGAUGUCCUUCAGCUCCCUGCAGCACCUCGCCCUGAUCGCCGGCAGGGGGACGAAGGGGCCGCGGCCGGGGCCGCAGGUCCGGCGGACAAGGUAUGUGCGGCAGCUUUGGAGCGGGUUGAGAGGGAUGACCAGCCCGGGCUCGCACCAGUUCGUGCUGGCGGAGGCGGCGGCGAGGGCGGAGAGAAGAACGGCGGCCGAGAGGAGGAUGACAUAGCUGGAGGAGCUAAUAGACGCCAUUGUUGCUAGCUUCAACUUCUUGGCGCAGGGAUGGAGCAGCAUGGCUAGAUGAUAAGGACUGUAAAGGUAGGAGCAAGCUGGCAAUUGACAUACUAAUUAUUUGCGUACUUUUUUUUCGAAAUGGAGUCUUGUGGAACUGAAAUUAGAAUGACACCAUGUUUGUGUGAUGAAAUAAUGGAGCUUUAAUCUGUUUGUUGGAACAGAGUUUGGGAUGUCCUGCAACUAGUGUUUUUUUUUCUGCCGUCAUGAGGAAAACUUUACAGCUAUACUGGAUUGGAGUUUAGCAACUUCACUUUAUUUCAUCAUCAUUUUUGUAAUCAUCUAUAGCUGGUGUGCGAAAUCACGCACUGAUGAUGUACGUGAUCGACACUCAGUGUGAACUUUCUGUUUGACUUACACGUUCUACACAACACGAUAAUGAUUUAGCAAUUACCGCGGCGUUCGUGCAAUCAAUCGUUGCCUUCCUUUCCUGAUUCUUUCCUAAACGAAAGUUUUGCAAUCAAUCGUUUCCUGAUCCUUUCCUUGCUUGCAUGACGUGAUAAUUGCCAUGCAUCAUGCCUAAACGAAAGCUCUGGUGCUGCUGCAGGCCCAGCAAUCCUUUUUAGCCGUCCCAACGCUGCCCUCUGCCUUUUUGUCCAUGGGAUCGUCUUCCCUUGCCGCUUGUGCAACGGGGCCGGUAGCCAGCCAUCGCCUUACGUGCCGCCAGCCCCAGUCGAUAGCAUGGUUGCAUGUUGGGAAAAGAGAGACGGCGGGCCGUUGCAUCGAUCGACGAGUUCGCCUUAUUCUGGUGUGAUUUGCUAGGCCGCUGCGUCGCCAUAUGCCCUCUACGAAGCACAUCUGGUUCUCUCUACAAUAUUGUCGCGCCCGGGUAGAGGAGAUCGUAAUCGGUAUCGUUGGCAUGACGACGUCUGUCUAACCCUAGCAACUGCACAGGAACGACGAGGAGCAAGCGGCCUAGGCGUUCGCUGUGCCCAUCUGUAGACAGGUAAUCCCACAUCCGUUGCCCAUCCAUCCAUCCAUCUCUUUGCACGCUGCCUUGUCUGCUUGUAUGGCAUGGACUCCCUGACGAUGCCCGCAGGGAAUAAUCUGCCCGGCUACUGACGAUGCACGCAGGGAUCAGGAUGAGAGCGUUCUCGUCACUUUGGCAGGUUAUUAGGAGAUCGGCGUCUACGGAGGGAACCACCUGAAGCGGCACAUCGAGGGCGAGAACAACAUCUGCUACAGGUGCACAUCCGAAGAUGUUUUUCUUGGUAAGUAAACACAUCACGUCUUGCCCGUUGCUGCCUUUAUAUGUGUCUAUUUCGUUAGUUGCUUUUCUUUGAUCGUAAUUGGCUUAAAUUUGUGGUCUAAACAGUAGAGAUGCAUGCAUAUGUAUUUGGUAGUCAUGAAUGUUCCGAUGGAUGAUUUAUGUUGUACACUUAUAUUUCGGGUAUCUCCAAUAAUGCAUGCUGCUAGUACUAACUUUCCUUAGCUAUCUCAAAUAAUUAUGCCUAUUUCGGCUCUUCUAUUGUGGUCGUCGAUGCAUCUGCUUGAGCUUCGCUAUGAUCAUUAACAAAGCACGGGGUCAAACAAUAACAAAUGUAGGUAUCUACCUUCCCGAGGCUGUUUUUUCUCAUGGGCAACUAUAUGUAGCGCUAUCUAGAGGUGUUUCUCGUGAGACAACAUGGGUUCUCGCUGAAAAAACAAAGAUACGGAUCCCAUUAGAAAGGGAACAAAGAAUAUUGUCUACAUGGAUUGUUAGUUUUAUAGAUUAUAAUUUAUAUUAUUAUGAUAUAUAUGUAUAGAUGCAUUGAUAUCUAUAUUACCGUGAGCUUUCUUGUAACCCUAUAUAUUGUUCCGGCGGCUUCAAUAUGCUUCAAGAUUGUGGACGGCUUCUGGUACAUGAAGAGUCUAGGAAACACAGGAGACAAUUUAGAUUGGAUACAUAUCUCUGUAGACGGUUUCUACGCGUGUCAGGGGACCACUAUGGGAAAUAGGAAAGAUGUUGAGUGCCAGGGGCACUCGGCGAAGCCCCAAAAACACUCGGCAAAGCGUUUGACACUCGGCAAACGACACACGGCAAAAAUCUUGACAGCAAACACUGGUUCGCCGACUGUUUUGUGUCGGGCACUCGGCAAAGACAUUGCCGAGUGCCCAGAAAACACUCGGCGAACAAUUAUUGAAAAAAAUAAAAAAAAACAUGUUCCAAACCAUCCGCCGCCGCCACCUGCUCCUGCUCCGCCGCCGCCGCCGCCAGCCACCGCCACUGCUUCCCGCCGCCACGCCAUGAAGCAGAUCCGGUGGAGGGGCGUCGGGCGGCGGCGGAUCCGGGGCCGGGGGCGGCGGGGCCGGGGGCGCCGGGCGGCGGGGGGCUCCGGGCGGCGCUGGCGGCGGGGCCGGGGGAAGGUGUGGCGGUAGGGCCGGAGGAGAGGAGAGGGGAGGGGGCCCGCUGGAUCCGGCCUCGAGGCGCGCGUGCGGCGGCGGCGGCGGCGGCAGGAGGCGUGCGGCGGCGGCGGCGGCAGGAGGCAUGCAGGAGGCAGGAGGCAGGAGGGGAAGAGGCUAGCAGGGGAAGAGAGGAGAGUGGGGGGAGGGGGCCGGGCGGGGGGGGGGGGGGGGUGUUUUAAUUUGUUGUAGGCCGUCUGUUUGCCGAGUGUCCUACGUGGACACUCGGUAAACGGUUGAUUUGCCGAGUGUCCACCAUAGGACACUCGGCAAAUGUUUUUUGAAAAAAAUUUAAAAAAUAUCCAACAGUUUCAAAAAAAAACAAAUUUUCACACGAACCAAUAUAGGUUCUCUACUGACUAUACAAAACGUUUUGUAGUCAAACCGAACUCGACCGUCACUUCGACUCUAAAUUUUAUCGAAUCCUUCUCAAAGUUACUAUUCUUCUUCUGAGAUGCUUCGGUUUGUAAUCAUCGUACAUGAUGAAAUGUGCAAAACCUUCUCAAUUUUUUUCCACAGCCUCCACGUAUUAUAUCAUCACAUCAUGGCAAAUCUCAUAAUUUUCAGACUUUGAUUGUUUUUUUUACAAUUUAAAAAUACUACUGCCACACGUUCAUGGUCGUGUUUCCUGAACAAGAUGUUCGAAAUUUCUUUUCAUUUCAUGGGUCAGGUCUCAAAUUGGUCCAAAUAACAUGAAUAUCAUUUUUCUACUCAUUUUAUUCCAUAAUUUGAAUCACUUGCAGUUCAAAUUUGACUUAUACCAAAAAUUCCCUUGAAAUGCAAUUAAUUAAAUAAAUAUAGCAAAUAAAUUCAAAAAUAUACCAAAUUUUAACAUGGAGUACCACAUGUUGUAUGUGGGGAGUAGAAAAAAUUUCAUGAUGAAAAGAGAAAAAAAAUUAUUUUUUUGUCGAGUGUAAAAAAAACACUAGGCAAACCCCCCUCUUUGCCGAGUGUUUUUUUUGACACUCGGCAAACCCCCUCUUUGCCGAGUGUUUUUUUGACACUCGGCAAAGAGAGGGCUUUGCCGAGUGUUUUUUAUUUGACACUCGGCAAAGCCCCGAUUUGCCGAGUGUUUUCUUAUUGCCGAGUGUUUUUAGCUUGGCACUCGGCAAAGAGCUUGUUUGCCGAGUGUCCGAGAAAAAACACUCGGCAAUAAGAAAACACUCGGCAAAUUUAAGGUUUCCCGUAGUGGACCUGUUGUAUAUGAGAGCAAAUAUUUGUGUUAUAUUUCCUAGCAAAGUUGGAAACGAGCUUCUGCUUAAUCAUUAUUGCUCAACGGCAAGGUUCCGGAUGUUUGAAAAGUUCAUAUAUUUCUAUCCUAUGCAGAUCCUCCUCGAUCCCGUGUCUGUUUACUCUUGCUUAGUUCUGUUUACUCUUGCUCAGGUAGGAUAGCAUGAUUUCUAAAAUACUAGAAUCAUGUGACAUUUAAUUUCCCACCAAAAACAAAUCUUGUCCAUCUACCAAAUUGCACCAUGACAAUUAGGAAUUGUCUUUGUAUUUAUUUCCUUAUACUCGAGCACAUGUGUUGGUGUUUGAUUUGCUUCAUGCAUGUUUAUCUUGGUUAAUAUUUCCAAACAAAAUAUACCGAGUUGUCAAUUAGGAAUGGUAUUUGUAUCCUUUUCCUUAUACCCGGCACAUAUUUCGUCAAAUCUUAAAAGGCUCUAAUAUUUCCUUUUGGUAUUAAUAAUAAUUAUUUGUCAUGUUUUAUUCAUACACAUGCUUGUGGCACGUGCACUUCCACUAGUUCCUAAUAAAGGAAGUUUUUGUUUAUUGUUCACUAGAUGAGGUGACGGCUCAUAGUCGAUUAGAGCCGAUACCAAUGAGCUUCAUGUCUCACUCUCUGUCUUAGGAGGUGAUUCAUCAACACCUCCACCCCCCCCUCCCCCCCCCCCCCCCCCCCCCCCUCCUCUCUCAUCAUCACUUGAUCCAAAUUCAUGAAUAAGCUACAUCAAACCAGCUGACACAAUUCUCCUUAAAUUUUAUUGUUCACAAUUAUUCCACUCCAUGACGCCACGCUUCAGUACGCCGACACCGCGCCGCCCCAGUGCUCCCCGGCGAGUUCGUAGCACAUGCCGCCGUCGACGGUGGGCAGGUCGCACUCCGCCUGCCUCGUCAGCCUGCGCGCGAAGCUCCUCUGCGCCUCCCUGGAGCAUCCCCGGAAGCCCUGGAGGCGGCCGGGGUUGCCGUCCAUCAUGAAGCCCAGCGCGGCGCACCGGCACCGCGACGGGACGGCGGCGAGUUCCCGGCAGCACCGCUCCUUCAGCACCGGCGACGGGUCACGGGGGCCGUAGGGCCCGCCGAGCCCGCAGGUCCGGCUCACCGCGUAGAUGCGGCAGCUCGGCACGGGCGGGACCGGGAUGGCCAUCCCGGGGGCGCACGCCGUCGGGUCGGUGGUGGCAGCGCAGGCGGCGAGGAGGGAGAGCAGGACGGCGGCCGGGAGGAGAAGACGAUGGCCGGACGCCAUUCUUGCUGCUAGUUGCUUAUUGGAUCGAUUUCCUGAUGCACUGUGUGUAUUAUACCCAACCCAAGGGUGUACUUGUACGCCUUUUUGUUUCCUGGAAUCUUAUGAAACUUGGAUUUGGAUGAAAAUUAAACCUCUGUGAUGAUGAGCUGGAGUUUCGUCGUGAGCUGCAACAGAAUUUGGGUGCAUUUUUGCAAUUAAUUGGCACCAUGGAAAACUUUGCAGCCGCUGGAGUUCGACUUUUCAUUGUCAUUUGUCCAUGAUGUAUACGUCGUUUACCUGCAAUCCAUGGCCAAGGGUACACUUCUCCUUUUUCUUUUUUCUCCCUUGAUUGAUCUCUGACUAUAAAAAGUGAACUUUGUUGGAAGAAAAUCAGGGGAUAUCUUGCAAAUGGUGUUAUUUCUAGGCUGAUCGAUGUGAAUUCUUUUUUUGGAAAAUUGAUCUGUAUUAGGUGGUUCCAUCUGUCAUUAUUAAGUAUCAUGAAAAUCAUAAAUUUCUGGUUCUUUCAUCAUGCAUGGAAGCCCUUGUGUGACCUUGCUACCUAUACUUAGGAUGGAAGAUGAAAGAUUAAGAUUGGAGAAAUCGAAAAUACUACUCCAACAAAAGAGUAAAUAUUAAUGAGAAAUCAGAAACAAUUGCCAAAACUUGUCUUUUGUAUACGUACUUGCAGGCUGCUCAUAGAUUUGAACAUUAUGGUAAGCACGGUAUUUUUCUAGUAACAAUCCACUUUACUAGCACAGUAGCACUAUGUUUUUCUCCUAAUACUCCACUUUAUUGAUGCAAAAUUUUAUUUAAUUUUACAUACAUGCAUUAGAAAUAUAUCAACGGAACAAUGAACUUUCACUGUCAGAACUAACAUGUCAAAAUAAUUUCUUCAAUAAUCAAAACUAGUUGAACUCAUAUCAGAUGGAAAAUUUAAAAAAACAUACUUCAUUACCAUUUUAUGUAAUAUGUGAAAAGGUACAAUUUACAAGUGUGACAUCGAGCACUGUAAAAUUUUUUGAUGAACCAUAGAAUUUUACUAUCAAAACAAUUCAAUGCACACCACUAAACAUGUUCCAUAUUCUACAGGAACCAUUGAUUAUGUGAUCACGAGGCCAUUCAAAUACAGUAUCAAAAGCUAUUGGAAUGUGCAGCAAAACGCGCAAGAGGGGGGAUAAAAAUACCGAAAGAAGCAAAAAUGAAGAGAACGAAAGUAGACACUCCAGAAAAAAAAAAGGCAUACCUUAAGAAAUUGGAGCGCAGUUUUAAAAGAAUUUGGCCCAUAAGAACAUUGCCGACAAUAAUAAGUCCAUUAAGGAGACCAACCAUAUGGGCCAUGUUGCAGACAGCACAACACGAAAGAAAAAAAAAUCUUCUCCAAGAUUGAGCCGCUGGAAAUGUCUUCCUCUCCGCAGCGCGAAUCGAGCUGUAGGCAUGACUUCCAACGCGUGAACUUGCAAAGAAGGUCUCUUCCAUUUCCAUCUAUCUUGCGUGCUGGGGUGAGCUUAUUGAAGUCUUCGAGUCCAUCAGUCUCUCCUGUUCCUGAAUCUUCCUACAGUACCGUACUAUCAUAUCCCGUGACGUGCACGUCGUGCAUCAAUGAUGCAAGUACUCUCCCUGGAGGGGAACAUACAAUGUUGACCUAUGCACUACAUGUAUGAAGCAUAGCAAAAUCACAGUAGCAUGGAAUUAUCUAGCAAUAUAAAUUGACUAAUGCCCCCAUCCUAAUUUUAAUAGGACAUGAGUAGAUAAAAAAGUACAUGAGCAUCCCCAUCCAUACCGUGUUAUUUUGCAAAAAGAAUCAUAUUUGAAGGGCCAAAUUCUACAAAUGACUAGUUAAUAACAAAAGUAACCUCAUAAUUGAAGGGUCAAAUAGAUCAAUGGUACCGUAAGGAUCCUUACUCCAUGAUCUUUUCAAAUGACUGAGAGUAGUUGUUGUUCCUUUUCACAAUUUCUUGUGAGACGGCCAACAGCUUUCUAGUUUAAUAUAUAUAUUUGAACAUUAUGUUCCUCGAGAAUGAAAACAAUUAGCAACUAGGAAUUCGAACCAACAUUUCCUAAAAAUACGUUGGCCACUCGAUAAAAAAGCUCCGGGGUCAUCUAGUUCCUGAGACCAUUUUGACAUAUUCUAUGAACAAUUAAACACUGACCGUCACCAUUUUGACUAAGCUCCAAAAUGUCCUCGCAACGUAUGAGGCAAUCCAGACUCCAGUGAUCCCUUUCUUUGAUUUGCUUGGUAGCUUGAAGUAUUGAUUACGCAUACACUUCCCUGCGGCAUUUGGAAAACUCAUGCAGUUAGAUUGUUAGAAUUUUAUCGGGUGUUUGGUUUGAGAAGCCUCCUCAUCCUUGAUGAAUUGGCCCGUUAUGAGUCAAUCCAAAAAAUUUUGGUUGGAUGACUCCAGUCCCUUAUUAUUUGACACCUUACUCUUGUAACACCAUAUAAUAGUAAAAUUCUACGAAACCACUGAAUUCCAUGCAACGUAGGUAUGCAAAUCCCACAUCAAAGGGUUGUGUGAUUUGCAAUACACUGGACAAUUGUAUGAAAGAAACUAAAAAUGGGCACAUGCACAAUUUAUGGAAAAUAUCUCAAUUCUAGAAACUAACAUUUACAAAUCAGUUUCAUUGCAGGAUAAGUUGCUUCUAAUUUACCUUUUUUUCUCAGCUGUAGUUUUUCGUCAGCGAUGGUUUCUUAGACUUUGAAUAGAAGAACCUCUUGAUGCAAGUUUUGGUCAAGUAGUGCACCGAUUGACAAUGCAAAUGACAAUUUAAUGCGUAAUCACUCGUGUGACUGCACCACUGAUUGACACUUAAGGACAAAAGUUGGGCAUGCGUGACUGUUUAUACUUUAGCUACUCAUUUCACUGUUUGUCAAAUUGAUAUGGUAUUGUAAUUUAAUUUAACUUUAGACACUUAAGGACAAAAAUAAUGGAUUGUAAUUUAAUUUAACUUUUACAUGGUUGUAGUACAUACUAUGCUAUGGUAUUUAGUUGGGAGACCUUUGAAGCUUCCACUUGUUUUCUUUUUUUGCAAACUGACAUAUCUCAGUUGAUUAGGUUCUUCGCGUUGGAACCUCCACCCGAGUUCAAGUAGUCUUAAACUUAGUACAUGUGCUCGUAUGUUCUUAUAUUUAUUAUAUAAGAAUUAAUUAUGUUAUUAUCUCAGUGGUAAAUGACGCACCCGUCAACAACGAUGCAUCUACGGUGACUUCCGCUCAUCAAUCUCAAGAUCCCUCGAAGGUGCUCUGUGAUUUAUGCUUGUGUUCAUAAGGGUAGAUAUGGCAUGCACGUAUAUAAGGGCCUAGUUCUUCUGGCUGUGUUUGGCAAAAAAGAAAAAUCUUAUACAUAGUUUUUGAAGUGUUCUUUCAGAUUUCAUCGAGUGGUUGGUUUCGACGUCAUAUUCUCCCCGGCUAUAAAUAUACCCACACCCCUUGCAGCUGUUCAGGCCAUUCACUCAAACCAAUUAGACGGUGUGACCUCUCUCCCUACCUCAGAAAGAAAGCAUGGGGGCCCUGCGCAACAAGGUACAGCUCCCACUAGCACUAGUCCUCGUGAUCCUGCUCCAGCCAUGCCUCCCCUAUCUGCAGGUUGAUGCAGCUGCGCACCAUGGCGGCGUGUCUCUGCGAUCCCAGCAAGCAGCCCUCCUUCAGUGGAAGACCACCAUGGGAAGCCCCCCAGCGCUAGACUCAUGGUGGCACCAAACCAGCCCGUGCAACUGGACCGGCGUCGAGUGCGGUGCCGUGCGCCAUGGCCACCGCAGACCGCUGGUGGUGACCGUCAUCUCCCUGCCACACGCCGGCAUCGAAGGCCGCUUAAGUGAGCUCAACUUCUCCGCGCUCCCAUUCCUCGCUUACCUUGACCUCAGGUACAGCAGCCUCCAUGGAGAAAUCCCGCCGGCCAUCACGUCGCUAUCUGCACUCUCCUACCUCGAUCUCACUGGCAACUUGCUCCAUGGGUCAAUACCGUCUGAUAUCGGCAACUUGGGACGCCUCAACCAGUACCUCGGGCUCUCUUUCAACAACCUCACCGGUAGUAUUCCAGCGUCCUUUGGAAAUCUGUCUAUGCUGGUUGAUUUUUCCAUCCACCAAAACAUGAUCACUGGGUCGAUCCCAGAAGAGCUCGGGAAGCUCACCAGCCUAGAGUAUUUUGAGAUAAGUAGCACCAUGGUAACUGGCCGAAUACCUGAAAGCCUUGGCAACCUGACCAAACUGAACCUCCUCUACCUCCACAGCAACCAUCUCUCAGGCCCCAUACCACCUUCUCUAGGCAAUCUUAGGGGAUUAGGGGAUCUUCAGCUCUAUAACAACCGCUUGAGUGGCGGAAUUCCAAUAACUCUGGCAAAUCUCACUAAGCUGAACACACUUUAUCUCAAUGAGAAUGAGCUCUCAGGUUUAGUUCCACAAGAGAUAGGAAUGCUGCGCAAUCUAAGCAAAUUGGUACUCUCAACAAACCAACAAAGUGGCACCAUCCCUUCUAGCCUAGGGAACCUUACUAGGCUAAAUCUCCUUGAACUAUCCGAAAAUCAGUUUGUGGGCUCCAUCCCACGUGAGGUAGGGGACAUGUUGAAUCUCUACAUUCUCUCGAUAGAUGACACCCAGAUUUCCGGUUCAAUUCCUGCUACUUUUGGGAACCUCACGAGCUUGAGAAAGCUUUCACUGUUUGAUAACGUGCUGUCAGGUCCUCUGCCUCCAGAGUUUGCUAACCUUACUGGUCUAGUUGAGCUAAAUCUAAUGAACAACUCUCUCUCAGGGGAACUGCCCUCUGAUGUAUGCAAAGGGAUGAAUCUUCAGGAUUUCAAUGUCGCUAAUAACAUGUUCAGAGGCCCUAUUCCUCGAAGCCUGAAAACAUGUCGGAGUCUCAAGAUGCUCUUCAUAGCUUACAACCAGAUAACUGGAGAUAUAUCUGAUUUCGGACCAUACCCAUAUCUCAUUGAUGCAAACUUAGAGGCAAACAAUCUUCAUGGGCAUUUGUCGAAAGCCUGGGGCUUCAGCACUAAUUUAACCUCACUGGCAAUGGCAGAAAAUAUGAUAACUGGAAGCUUGCCAUCUUUAUCGAACCUAGUGAAAUUGGAAAGGCUUGUACUCCACUCCAACAACCUAACUGGCAAUAUACCACCAGGAUUAAGCACUUUACCCAACCUAUACCAGCUCAUAUUAGCCCGAAACCAAUUGUCAGGACAUAUUCCAUCUGAAUUUGGUCAGAUGAAAAACUUACAGUACCUUGAUAUAUCUAGGAACAGGUUGAGUGGAUCCAUCCCCAACGAGCUGGGGAGUUGCACUAAGCUACAAUCAUUGAUGCUUAGCCACAAUAACUUGAGUGGCGAGUUGCCAAUAACCAUUGGUAAUCUAGGGAACCUGCAGAUUGUGUUGGAUAUCAGUGACAACAAACUUAUAGGCAGGCUACCCGCACAGCUUGGGAACUUGGCGAUGUUGGAACUCCUGAAUCUCUCCCACAAUCAAUUUAAUGGGAACAUUCCAUCCUCCUUUGCCAGCAUGGUUAGCUUGACAACACUUGAUGUGUCAUACAACAACCUGGAAGGGCCUCUUCCAGCUGGACGACUAUUCCAUGAUGCUCCAAUAGCAUGGUUCCUCCACAAUACAGGUUUAUGUGGUAAUCUCAAAGGCCUGCCAACAUGCUCCUCAACUGCGAUAUUGGAAUAUCACAAAGGAAGAAUUCAAAUCAUAGUAUUAUCUAUUUCUGUUCCCAUGUGCAUAGUUAUUAUUCUCACAAUUUUUUGUGUCAUUAUGAUUACUCAAAAGAGGAAACAACCACAAAACGACAUAGCCAUAGAUAGAAGAGAUGUUCUUUCAGUGUGGAAUUUCGACGGUAAACUAGCAUUUGAGGAUAUCAUUCAUGCAACAGAAAAUUUCAGUGAUGGGUACAUUGUUGGAUCAGGGGCUUAUGGAACUGUCUACAAAGCUCACCUUCAAGGGGGGCAACUGGUUGCAGUGAAAAAGCUCCAUCCCAUUGAAGAAGAGAUGGGAGACGAAAAGAGAUUCCUCUGUGAAAUUGAAGUGCUGACAAAGAUCCGACAUCGGUGUAUCGUGAAGUUAUAUGAUUAUAUUGAUAGAGGGAACCUUCAUGAGACAUUGGAAAAUGAAGAGCUAGCAAAGGAGCUAGAUUGGAAAAAGCGGGCUGCCAUUGCAAGAGAUGUGGCUCAAGCUAUAUGCUACUUACACCACGAAUGCAACCCGCCAAUAAUCCAUCGUGACAUAACCAGCAACAACAUCUUGCUAGAUGCAGCAUUUAAGGCUUAUGUUUCAGAUUUUGGCACAGCAAGGAUUCUGAAACCUGAUUCAUCGAACUGGAGUGAGCUAGCAGGGACAUAUGGUUAUAUAGCCCCAGGUGUGUGUCAGAUUCUUUUCCUAUGUAUUCACUUUGUUUUCUUACCUGAUUCCGGAUCUCACCCUACUGCUUUCUUUUCUGUAGAGCUUUCAUACACAUCGGUGGUGACGACAAAAUGCGAUGUCUACAGCUUCGGUGUGGUCAUGCUGGAGAUUGUGAUGGGGAGAUAUCCAAGGGAACUGCAAUCACUUGCUUCUGUGGGACAGCAGCAUAAACAUGCAAUGGAUUUUCUGGACCAGCGCCCAUCAACACCAGCAAUGGUGGAGAACGAAGAAAUAGCUCUGCUGAUUGAAGUGGCACUUUCUUGCCUGCAAACUUCUCCUCAGUCAAGGCCAACAAUGAAGAGUGUCUAUCAGAAACUCAUUCACGAUCACCCUUCUAGUUCUUUUGCGAUACCUUUCGAUACACUAGAAGAAACAGCUGACCCAUGACGAAGUGGUCACUAGAGUAUAUUACUCAAUACUAGUAGUAUUGAGUAAUAAGGCCAGCGCGAUGGUGUGGCCAACAUGUUGUACCAAAGCAAGGAUCCUUUUACAGAGUAUGUUAUUAUUUUCCUUCUAUAAUAGUUUUGUGUGGCAAGAUUGAUCUUCUCUCUAAGAUAAAUGAUAUUUUUUACAUGUAAAAUGAUCUCUAAACAUGGACAAAAGGGAGGGCACUGUCAUAUGGGAGUUCAAUCCUUAAUACGCCUAAAGGAGCAUUCAACAUUAUAGUCUAAGAAUUAUCUGUAGUGCAAGGAUGUGCAGUAUUUGCUCUGCGUAUUCACUACUACAAAAAGGGUCAAUACAAAGAGAAUAUUGGAAAUGGUGGACCAAAACACAUCAGCUAUCACACUAACUCUGACGGUUCUUUCUUUGGCCGUAUGAUACAAGCCCUGAAAAAGAACGCUUUUCUUAAGCCACCGUCAGAAGUAAGAAUGAGUUUCCAAUGCUAGUUUCUUAAAAAAAAACUGCCACUGGAUGUGGAAUUAUUUCUAUUGGUGGUUCACUAAGGAACUGCCGGUGAAAAUCCUCCACCCUGAAUUAUAGGAACUCAAAUUUCCUUAUUUGGAACCUAUCACAGGAUGCUAUGGGAAAGCGAUCACCCCUAGCACCGGAGUUUUACACAACUGUUUUCACCAAGCACCAUAAAGUAUGGUGUUUGAGAAAUCUUAAUCCAUUGAUUCUUCGGCUUUGAAUUGUGGCAGUCCGGUUCAUCGCGGUUUGACACCGCAACCUCGCCAUCUCUCUCGUUGCACCUUCCGCCUCCGCCACACGCACAUGUUGCCUUGUCAUCACCCCUCCGGCCAUCCCACCACAAUGCGCUACCACCUCCAUAAGUCACCAUACGUGCCACCAAAAGCGCACCAUCCUUACGGCUGAAUCUGCUGAGGUUGUGCCAAAACCCUAGGUAAUGGUUUCGACCGCCAAUCCAAAUUACUAGCAAUCUUUGCUAGCUCCAAUCGUUGGCGUUCUGACCAUCCACUCAAGUGCCUAUCUCUUCGAUUCCUAGCUCAUGGCGGUGAGUCUUAUUCAAAUUUAUCUCAAAUUCAAUAUAACUCUUUCAAAUCUGAGGCAAAAUUCAUGCAAUUAGAUGCUUCUCUCUACAAUUAGGGUCCCAUUCAUGCAAUUGGACAGUGUGCUAAGUUAACUACAUCGAAUUUUGUGCAAUUCCCUAUUUAGUGCUCAAAUUCACUUUUAAUUUGGUGAAAUUCAUUCAAAUGUGCGCAAAGUUAAGGUUGUCCCAUUCUAUUUCAUCAUUAAAUACUUAAUAAUAUUUAGUUAUGGCUAAUAACAUGUAGUCAGAAUUAACUUUUUAGCUCGUUGAAAAUAACAAAAUUAUCAAUAAAUAUAUAUGAAUUCUCUGAGAUGAUCAAAGUCUUCUGUACAUUGAGCCGCUGCACCAACUUGCAAGGUCGUGCCAGCAUCAAUGUUCCAUCCAUGCAUCUUUCAUGCUUGUGUUGUGCUUGACCUGGCAUUAUUGAAAUCUUUGAGUCCAUCCAUGCCUUCUAUUGUUGAUAUGUCACAUCUAUGUACCGAAUAUAUCUAGAGUUCAUACCUUCACGUUAGGUGCACGUAGUGCAUCAAUACACUCUCCGGUCACAAGAAGAUUGCAUCUUUUUCGAUGCUAACAUAGUUUAUAACCCACAAUUUUGGCCGCUACUUUAUUACACUACAUUAAUUUGUAAAGCAUCACCAAGAAACAGUAUUGUGAAACUACAUUUCAAGAUAGCAUGCUUUUUAAAUAAAUUGUUAAUAUGUAAAAUACAAAAGGGAACAGCCAAAGAUUAAAGAUUUAGUUGCAUGAUUUCUCUAAACGGAAUGGAGAGGAAGUGUGAACAAAAUAUGUACCUCAAUCGGUAAAAUCAUAGAAAGGGACCGGAGUGCUUCAUACGUUGUGGGGGACAUUUUGGAUUCUAGUGAUAGUGGUGUCAAUCAAUUUUAUUGCUGAUAUAUAUAAACAGUGCCUAGACUUUGAAUUAUCCUUUAGUCAGUCAAUAGUCGCCGACACUACCAUCAUUCUCUUUGAAGUUUGAACUACAUAUUAGCUUUGCAUCACAAACACUCAUAGUAAAUUUUGAAUGAAAGAUGUGUAGAAGUGUUUCCACGCUAUAGUGGGAACAAGGGAAUAGGCAAGUAAUUAUUGGAGGCGACUCCUUUCCAGAGAAUCCUAGUAGUUGAUACUUCAGCACGAGGGGAAUUCAAGGCUCUCAACGUAUGAGCGGCCCUGCAGGGCAACCUAGGGUGAGCUUCCUACUCCCAUUAGGCCAUCCUUGAAGGACAACAUUUCAAAUCAUACUUUCUUCAAAACUAGAGCAAAAACAAACCGAUGGUAAAUAUGCGCAAAAAAACAUGGACUGAUGGACACGAAACAGGAAUGGUGCCAGUGCAACCGGUGCAAGGUGCAACAUGAUCAAUAAUAAUUACAAUUAUCAUGAUUUUGCUUUGCUGCAUCAUGUCGGCCACACACUGCUUGUUUGAAUUUAUUCAGUACUGAAGCACUAAAUGAAACACACUGAAAAGUUCUUUUUUUUCUGUCAGUUCUUGGAUUUUUGAGCUGAGGAAUAAAUCUGAAACCUAUUUAAGCGUGUCCAGUGCAGCUUGUGCCUUCGAGCUAAAUUUUAGGAAAUUGCUAAGAUCUGAAUAAUGAAGCGGGACCCCCUUCACAUGGGAAGUUUAUGCAUUCUCUCAAUUGUGUAAUUUCGAGGUUCAGAUUAACUGUUGCUGAUUAUACAAUUUUCCGCACCCCUACAAGCAAUUGGCAAUUGCUACUGCAUGCAGACUAGAACUAUAAGGCUAAAUCCAUCUAGAAUAAGAAGCGCUGUUAGAGAAACAAAGGAACUGAACAGUAGUUAGGGUUAGGAAAAGGUACAGUCACCGGGAGGAGGCCCAUCUGCCUUCGGGGGCCUAGCAGGCGGUGCGAGAGUCGGCGUCGCCGCCGCAGCCGAGUCGAACGGAGACGCAAUGAAUGCUGGGCUCAACGCCGGCUGCGGCGCUGCUUCCUAGGGCCCGCGUCGAGAACUGUUUCGGAGCCGGAGGAGGUAAAUCCGGACCGUGCAGCGAAUCCGGUAAGAUGGCGAGCAGCGUGCGCUGCCGGUGCCGGCGAUGGCGCGCCCGCAGAGGAGAUGGGUGGGGGCGUCGACGAGCGGUGGGGCGGAAUGGGCCCCCAUGAAAAGAAUUGGAGCCUUUCAUUUCUUUUCUCUCAGUGUUUGUUGUUCAGUGCACCUGAUGGGCCUGCCAGUCCAUCAGCCCAUGUCGUCUUCGGCUUCUUUUGGGCCAACAACUCCGAAGACCAUACUUCUUAUUUGCAAAAGGAGACAAUGUAAAAUAAUGGCUUUUCAAAAAAAAUAAAGGGGAGACAACUGAAUUAGAUUUGAAAAAAUGCAACUUACAUGCUUCUCAAACCUCCUGAUGGGUCAAGCGGCUCCAGACUAUUAAUGCUAGAGACAGCACAAGCAAACGACCCAGCAGCACUUCUUCCGUUAUUUCUUGACGACUUCGAUUGGGCUCACAUCUUCACUCUCCUCAAUUUAAAAAAGGGGAAAAAAAAAAGAUAAAACUGAGCCGCACGCACAUCGCCAACUGUCCCGACAUCGAGCCCACAACUAUACACAGCCCAAAACAACAAAACGGGGCCGCACAUCGACUAGGCCGCGUCCCAACAUCUGGCCCACAACUAUGAUAACAAGCCCGAAACAACAAUACAAGGCCGCACACCGAGUAUCGUUUGUCGCCUGAAGCCCCUCACGCGUGUAGCACACGACUAGCUAGCUUGUUUCGGCUACUUCGGCCUGUUAUCCGAUCUCAAACUCGGCCCAUUUGAUACGGAUCGGCCCACGUUCGUUUUUCCUUUUUUCCGCAGCUUGGCCCAUGCUCUUUUUCCUAUUUUUUCCGCGGCUCGGCCCAAGAUAUUUUUCCCUUUCCCACAGGUCCACAGCCAGAACAUGCAACAUGCAACACAGCCGGACUCUCAAACCGUAUGAAACACCUAAACGCCAAACACAUAAAUCCGGUUGCAUCAUUCACUAUAGUAGUACAUAAAGAAGGAUCACUUGUUAUGAAAUUCCGAUUACAAAAUACUGAAAAUGUAAGCAUAAGCUGUAGCAAACUGCAAACCACCACCCAGGUGUUCAAAUACUGAUGACAGUCACUGACCAACAACAGAGCUCCAAAAGUUUACAGCUCUUCCUCUAAUGUAACUAAUCCUUGGCACCUCAAAACUGUAGACUCUGCAAGCUUCACCGAGUUGCCUGCUGUGUUGCUUGAGCUGGCUCCACGAUGUUCUUUGCUAGCAUGUAGGUCCGCAUGUUAAGGCCCUUCAAGCUCUCGAUAAUCUGCUCAUGCCUGCAAAAACAUGCAUUCCACUGUAAACAUACUGGCUACAACAAAAGAUGUUAAACUAAAUCACAUUCUUCCCAAAUGUGCGAAGAAAACAUGUUAUGAAUCCACAAUCAACAACAUGGUGUGUUCAUGGACAGAGCAACUUACACAUUGACGUGAUUGGUCGUCAUGAUAAGGGUUCCUGACACUGAAUCGAUCCUUGCAUCCAGUUUUGAGCUCCUAACCAAGUUCAUUAUCCACAACUCUGCCUCAUCAUAGCUCAUGUUCAGCUUCUGCGAAAGCAUGCUGUCCAUUGCAAUAAUAUCAGAGGAACAUGUUAGGACAUUAACAACUAUGAUCCUAUAUGGUGCAUAUAAUAGAAUGCAAACCAACAGGUCUAAUCAUAAAACAAAUGCUUGUUCCCAAAUUGCACAAAACACAAUGUUAAUUACUAUUCCUUUGGACAUUACAUUUAUGGUGAACGGGGGACUUGAAAAUCUUCUAGCUAUAUACUACAGAAUAACCCAAUCGAAAAGUUGACACAGGAUCGGUAGAGUGACAAAACAAUUCCUAAACGAAAGCAUGCCAAGACUUUAUAAUCCAGUUCCCGCAAAAUUAAGAGACAUUUUCCAUGUCAUUGUAAUGAGUCGUCAGGGGAAAAAACCUACCUGAUAUCAAUGCACCGAUGAAUACGGCAGUAAGUCUCGAAAAUAAACAGACGAGCAUUUUCAAGGAACUCAUCUCUCAAAGGGACAGUGACGAAAUUUCCUUCUUCAAUGCGCUUUCCCAGGAAAGGAUCAUUCAAUAUAACCUGGAAAGGUACACAUUAGAACAUGAAGAAGGUACAUUAGAUAGUUUGAUAGCAAAUCAUAAAAUGAUCAUUGCUGAUUUUUGGGACAGCAAUGCAGACAAGCAGACUAUAAGCCCUUAAAAUCCUAACUCACAAGCCCUCAAAAUCCUAACUCAUUUAAAUACUUAUUCAAAUAGGACAUGUUACUAUACAGCUGAUGCUGACAUCCAUGGAACGUAUGAUAUACCUAAGAAUAACUAAAUUUGGGAUUCAGAAGGACAUAAUAUUUUACCAAUGCGAAAUACAAAAGACUUGAUGGGUGAGGACCACUUUACAAAAAGAUGUUUUGCGAAAAAAAAUGACUCAUUGUUUUUCAAGAUUUUUGAUAUUCCAAGGAGCACGUUCAAAAAAAAAUUGCCAUAAAGGUUGAGAAAAACAGCCUCGACGUUACCUGCUCGCACUCCAUGAGUUUCUGCUGAGCACCAUCAAAAUCAUAGUUGACAUAUAAGCAUUCCAGAAAUUCAGUUAUGGGAUCCUUGUAGCUAUGCUGCUCCUGCUGAAUGACUUUAAUCAGCUCUUUAAGCAUAUUCCUUCUCCUUUUGUUCACAACGACUGCAGUAGCUAGGUAUCUCAGGAGAUGGUGUGCAUUGGUCUGAAUAGCAUUCAAGUACCUGGGGGGGGGGGGGGGGGGGGGGGGGGGGGGGGGGGGGGGGGGGGGGGGGGGGGGGGGGGGGGGGGGGGGGGGGGGGGGGGGGGGGGGGGGGGGGGGGGGGGGGGGGGGGGGGGGGGGGGGGGGGGGGGGGGGGGGGGGGGGGGGGGGGGG